rnacentral:lncRNA from 1 species
UUUCAUAAUGUUUUCAAUUUAUUUCUUAAACCAUAAAAUAUUUGUAAUUUACCAAAACAGUUGUUAAGGCUUAUGUCUUUUAUUAAAACAAGGCUCAAGCCAAAACUAAUCCUCGGGGAUACCUUGGCCGAGGCAUCUAACCGAGUCCGCCAAGGGUGUUAAAAUAUUCACACGUGAAACACAUUUUUAUUUUUAAAACCAGCCGUUCCUUGGCGUUGGCCGAGUUACACAUUCACGUGGGGGUUCGACGUGAAGUGAGCUCUAAUACUACCCCGGGAGUUACCCUCCUCGCCUCUACAACCGGAGUAACUAUAUAACUGGGUUUACCGUGCCCCUCUAAUAGGCAGUCCACGAAAACCCGUCACUGCAGUGACUAACCCACCAAUUUUAAUAAAAUUUCGACAGUAUAACGUGGCUUUUAUUUAUUUAUCCAGCCUGCAUAGUAAAACAACUUACAUAAAUUUCCCAAUGCAUUCACAAAAUAUAGCCACAUAUACUCAUUUCUCAUAAGCCAUUCCUAGGAAAAUAUAUAUUUUUCAAGUCAAUUUGUAGCCUCCAAUUACUCAAUUUCAUAAUCAAUACAAUAUAUUUUUAUUUGUCACAUUUAUUCCUAAAACAUCAAAAAUCCCGUUUUAAUCUCGUUCUCAUUUCAUAAAAUACAUAAAGGGCAUUUAAAAUAAACUCUAGAUAAUUUACAAUAAUAAUAAGUUUACUCACCGUUUGUACAAACUAAAAGCUUUCUAAGCGCCCCGAUCACUACUCGUCGGGUACGACUUCUUUGCCUUUUCCGGAAGGCUCUCCUCCUAGACACAUUACAAAAAUUUACACAAUUCAUCACAUUGAUGCUAAAUCACUAUAUAAUUAACUUAAAUCCUAUACUAAUGCAUGGUAUGAAAUGCAAUAGCCUAAAACGGCUUAAACGCGGUAUUAACCUAUUUUUGGCACUUUGCCCGAUAAAUUGCUAACGCGCUCCAUUUUAGCUCUAAAUCAUCCCAUUCUCUCUCCAACAUUUCUAACCAUUAAAUAUCAGCCAAUAACCUUCUAAAAACAACAAAAUCAGCUCACUCCCUUCCUUGGAAAAUUCGGCCAAAAAUGGGACAUUAACUCGGUUAAUUUUCUACUUUGUUUUUCUAUCACGUUUAAUCGUUUUUCAUCAUUUUCUCUUCAUUUCCCUUAGAAUAAAAUCAAUUCAUCAUCAUUGUACAGCAUUGAGCAUCCAGCCAAGAGUGGGUAUUGUGAAAAUUUAAUGAUUUCUUGCCCAAUUUAAUUUCUAAACACAUUUAACUAACUAAAACUAUCAAUUUAACUAAAAAUCAAAACCUAAAAAUUUCAAUUUCUCUCCCCUAGAAUUUCGUCCAGCCCUUGAUAUCACUUUUUGAUCUCUCUCCUCAAGCAUGCUAAAUGGAAAUAAAGGCAUAGGAAAGGUAGAAAUCAAGCUAAAAUCGAAAAAUCUUACCGUUAGACGCGUAAACGGUCGAAAACCGCGAAUUUCCCUUUGAAUUUUCUUGUUUCUCUUUGGUUUUUCUUUUUUUCUUCCUUUCCUCUCUAUUUCCUCUCUUGUUCUUCCUUAUGGCCGGCCAGCACUUAAAAUUUGGGUUUAAAUGGGCUGACUUUUCAUUAAAAUAAUAUUAUAUCAUUAAAAAAUGCCACAUGUCACUUUCCCAUUGGCCCAUUUUUAAAAUUUCAUCCAUUUGUUUCCAAAUUUUCACCAUACACUUGUCUCAUAUAUUCAUAGCUUAGAUAAAAUUCUCAGACUCAUCCAAAGUCUCGGUGGAGUAAUUUUUGAAAUUUACACUUUUGCCCCCGUAAAAGUCAAAAAUUACAUUUUUGCCCCAAAAAUUGAAAAAUUGCCCAUAGACAUAUUUUUCAUCCCUUAUACUCAUACCAUUCUCCAAUUUAUCAAAUUUGAUCUAAAUUCUCUCAAAAUCUCAAGUUUUGUUCGUGGGUGGUAAAAUUACGAUUUUGCCCCAUACACUCCAAAAAUCACCAGAAUUAAACUUUUUCACUUCCUAUCAUUAAAUUAUACUCCAAAUAGUUAAUCUUGGUCAAAAAUUUCACUCCAUGAUCAAAUUAUUAUCUUAUGUGGCAAAAUGACGAUUUUGCCCUUGAAUAUCAAAAUUUCUAAUUUUACGCCAAAUGAACCAUCGAACUCCGAACAAUCAUUUUUAGUCAUUCCUGGACUAUAAAAUAUUAAAUUUCAUCCUACAAUUCCUAUUUAAACUAGUUCAAGAUUAAAUCAAUUUAAAUGUACCGUUAGGUACAAUAUCGGGUUUCGUCUAUUCUUAGGUGCUUUUCUAGCGUAAUAACAUGCUACUCAAUGCAUGUAUGUCAUGACAUGUAUUUAUAGGGUCGGGUUUUACAGCAUACCUAUUUAACUCCCUCCUAAUCAAGGACAAAGCUCGGGUAGAAGGCUCAUGCAUGAAUGCAAAUCGUGUUGUGUGUGUGUGUGCGAAGAAACAGAUUGACCUUUAACCAUUAUUCUCAUAUCACUUUAUCUUAUAAUCCCUGUAAUUAUUAAAAGUAAUAAAAUAACAAUAAUGAAAAAAUAAAUGCAUUAAACAAAAAUAUGUAAAAUAAAUACGUGAUACUAAAGGAAACACUAAAUUAUUUAAAACUUAGAAUAACAUAUGAUUAAUUAAUGGCUCGACUCUCUAAAGUUUGCUAGUGGAGUUGUCGUAUGUCGUAACAUGCAGGUUUGGGAACCCGUCUGCUAGACGUGGGUGGUAUUAAGGAGUAGCCACCAAUCUUUUUUAUCUAGGUACGAUUGGUCACCUAUUAAAUUUGUUCUAUUCAAUGGAGUUUUAAAUUGAUUUUAGAUCCAUCAAAAGAACGAUAAACUGGUCUGUGAAUUUUAGAGUUGGGUUUGGGAGUAUGGUUACACACGAGGAAGGAUUAGCACCCCCGUGACGCCCGUUCCACGAAUUGUACUAUUUAAUCAUAUGUUAUCCUAAACUAUUGAUUUUAUUCUUAUGUUUCCCUAAUUGUUAUUUAUUUUAUCUUUUAUUUUAUUAACAAAUCAAAAUAUUUUAUUUGGUUUUACGAGUGAGGUGUACAUAUGAUGAAAUCAUGAAAUGCAUGGCAAAGAAAAAUCGAAUAAUGCCAAAUGAAAACCUAUUAUUGAGGAUAUUUUUCGAAUCCGUCUACCAUAUUGGUAGGGUCAAGAGAUAUUCUCUCACCUAGAAAAUUACCAAAAAAACUCACAUUCGCAAGUUUAACAAGUAAAUUCCAUUAUCGGGAUAAUCAUUCGUAUUUAAAAAUAUUUUUCACAAAUGCAAAUCUUAGUAUGAGCAAAAGCAUCUUAUUAAGGAUAUUCUCUGAGCCCUCCCAUCGUACUGGUGGGACUCGGAGGUAUCCUUUCACCUAGGGAUUUUUUUUUUAAAGAACUCGCCUUUGCAAGCUCCCUCGAAAAGUCCCAUUAUCAGUGUUUGGACUCGUAUACAUAAUAUGUCUACAUGCCAUGACAUUUAAAUGAUGCAAUAAUGGUGCGAGAGGCAUUAUAAAUUUCGAUGUCCAUUAAUUACUCUCUAUAUUCAUUAUUUUUAUGAGUUUGCCAUCUUUGGAAAUUUUAUUUUUUACUAUUUGUUUAUCAUCAUGAAUAUCAUUAUUUAAUAUAAUCCUAUAUUUUUAAAACUACAUAUAUUUUAUCUAUUCCCUUUUGUAUUUAUUAUUAUUAUUAUUACUUCUUUUUUUCUUUUUGUUUCUAUAUUUUUGUUUGAUUAAUAACGAGGUUAAUAUAUUUUCCAUUUAUUUAGGAUUAGCAACAUUGGGACUCAAAAUUAAAACCCUCCCAUUGUACUGGUGUAGUAUUAAUUGAAAUCCCUAACUUAGAAAAAUUCAUUCGGGAUUGCGACUUCUCGCAUUCUAAGUGAAUAUUCCAUCAUCGAUAUUAAGUCAAAUAAUUAUCCUAUUUAUAUUAGUAAUUUUUUUAUCUAAUCUUAUUUUCAUCCUUUCUCCCUAUUUUACAUAAAGCUAUCUACUUCAACCAAUUUGAUACUUUCAUAUUUUGUUUCAUUACAUUUUAAUUUUAAUUUUUCCUAGUUCAUUUUCAUUCCCAUUUUAUAUCUAUAUAAGCUUACAUAACUAAGUAUUUUAUGAUUAUGUCUAACAAUUCACCUUUUCCCACAUUUUAUAUUUCUUCCUAGACAUAUUCUAUGUCACGACCCGGAACUCCUAUCGAGCCCGUGACAACCGCCGCGACGUCCUGAUAGACAUUCAUUACUCGAAAUGUCAAUCGAAACCUCGCAAGGCUUAACAUCAGUUUUUCUCACUUCUCCUACGAGUAUUAGUCACUAAAAUUAUGUUUUGAGAGAUUAUAAACUAUUUCCAAAUCAAAACAAUAGAAAAAUAAUUUUUUUCUCACAGAGGCAUUUUGGUCAUUUUUCCUCAUUAAUCUCAAAAUCCGUUAAAAAUGUAGUAUGCGAGUACAAAACGUAUAAUUCGUAAUAAAAAAUAAGUUUAAACAUCUAAAACCUUCAUUUAAAAUGAAAUUAUGAUUAUUUGAAUAUAAACUAAAAAAUAAAAGAAAUGUUCAAUAAAAUAUUCAAUAAAAUAUUCUAUUUUCUUAUAAAACAAUAUUUUUAGAGUUAUACGUAAAUAAAUUUUUUGUAGUAGCAUAAAAGCAAAAUAAAUUCAUACAUACUGUAAUACAGUAAGCCUGAGUAUUUAAUUUAAUUUAUAAUAACUAGUGGGCCCUCGAAUAACUAAAAGUAAGAAAAACUGUGAACCUAUAGUUUGGAGGAUGCAAAUCCAAUGGUAGCCUCGAUGAAAUCAGCUAUCUACAGCCUAUUCUGAGCCUGAAAUGGGUGGAAAGGAAGGUGGUGAGAUUAUAUAAUCCCAGUGAGUAAACAAAUACCAUCUAAAAUAUCUAAAGCCGAGUAAAUGGAGACAGAUAAAAUAGUUUAACAUAUUGUAAUUCAUCACCUUUCAACUUGUUUCAACCAAAUAAAAUCAAUUCAUAUAAAUCGAGUAAUUAACAUGGCUUAUGAAUUUCUUAAAAGUUUGGCUCGUGCCAAAAUCAUUCUCAUACCCAAUUAUCAAGGAUACCUUGAUCGAGGGCUAUCCCAACCGAGUCCGCCAAGGCUGUUAAAAAGUUAUGUACGUAUAAAUUAUGUUUUUAUUUUGAAAAUAUAGCCGUUCCUUGGCGUUGGCUGAGUUCACCCUCACGUGGUGGUUUGGCGUGAAGUGAACUCUAAAGUUAUACCUCGGGAGAUACCCUACUCGCCUCUCCAACAGAGGUAAAAUAUAACAGGAUUCUGUGCCUCUCUAAUAGGCUGGUCUAUAGAAAAUCCGCCUACUGCAGCAAGUUAAACCCACCAUACAAUAAAAUUUACAAUAGCAUGACAUGACAAUUAUUUUAUUUUAUUUUAUAGCUUUUCAAGGCAAAUAAACAAUUUAUACAUUUCCAACACAUUUAUCAAAUCAACCAUUCAUGCCAAUAUUGCCAUAAGCCAAUCAAUUGGAAUCAUGAAUUUACAACACACAAAAACAGUCUCCAAUUACUCUAUUUUCAAACCAUCAUUCAAUUUCAAGACAAUUUUUAAAAUCAUUUUAUUUAAACACAUUUUGUUUAUAAAAUCAAAAAAUUAAUCAUUUAAUUCAUUUUCCAUAAAAUUCACAAAAUCAAAUAAAACAUACUUUAGAUAAUUAAGAUGAUGAUAAGGUUACUCACUAUUUUGGGAGUCAAAUUCCAAGUACUCCAAUUCUUGAUCCUCGGGUACUAUCUCUUUACUUUUACCAGAAUACUCACCAUCUAGACAUAAUGCACAAUAAGCCAUUUACUACAUUGUGCUAAAUUGUUAUAAAACCAAUUCAGGCUUGAUACUAAUGUAUGAAAUGGGAUGCAAAUUGUUCGAUUAUUGUCUAAACACGGUAUUCUACACAAAUUCAAUUGUGUACCUAAAUUAAACGGUAUUGGUCUAAUUCGAUCUAUCACUCGAUUAAUUGGCCAAUACGUCCAAUUCAACUCCAAAUAAUUUCAUUUUUCUCCCAAUACUCCAAAUCAUCAAACACAAAUUAAAUAACUUAAAAUAGGGCAAAAUCAUCCUCACAUUUUCUCUUGAAAAAUUCGACCAUGGUGGGUGCAUCAAUAUUAUGAUUUUUCCUACUUGAUUUUCACACCAUAAAUCACUAAUUCCUAACCAAAUCACUUGAAAUAAAAUCAAAAUCAUCAUCAAUAUUCCACAUGGAGAAUUCGGCCAAUGAUGGGUGAUGGGAGAAAAUGAAUUUUUCUUGUUGGCUUUUCAUGCUACACAACACUAACUAACUAAAAACACUAAAAUAUCUUAAAAUCUAACCAAAUCAAGCAUCAAAACCUCUCUCUAAGUGUUCAGCCAGCAAGAUACCCAUCAUGAAAUCAUGUGAUUCAACCAUGGAAAAUGCAAAAGAAUGCAUGAGAAAGGUAGAUCACACGUCAAAAUCAAGAAAUUUUACCUUUGAUUGUUUGAUUACUUGAAAUCCACUAAUUUUCUCUUGAAUUUUCACCCUAGGGUUCUUGUUCUUUCUUUUCUUCCUUUGUUCUUCCUUUGGCCGGCCAUAUGAAGAGAAAUAGGCUGAUUUUGUGCUAAUUUAUAAGGAAAAUAACAAAUGGAUGAGAUUUUGACACAUGUCACCAUUCCAUUGGUUCAUGUGUCAUACUUAGUCAUUAAGCAAUCUCUCUCCACCACUUAAAUUUUCUCAAUUAUCUAUGAUAAUAUUGGGUAAAAUGCAUGUGCUGGACAAGUGUUGGGUGGUGUAAAAUUACAAUUUUGCCAUUAAGGUGGCAAAAUGACUAUUUUGCCCUUAUGCUCAAAAAAUUGCGAAAUUAAAAUUUUUCACUUCUCAGACUCAAAUUAUACUCCAAAUGAUCAAUCUUAGUAAAAAAUUUCAUCCAACACUCACAUCUUAACCUCAGGUGAUAAAAUGACCAUUUUACCCCUAGAUCAUGAAAAUUCAAAUUUGACUCCAAAUUGGUCCUCGAACUCCGAAUCACCAUUUUAAGUCAUUCUGGGGUUUUAAAAUUCUCAAUUUCAUCUUAAAAUCUCUAUUUGGACUAGUUCAAGACUUAAUUCAACUUGAUUGUACCAUUUGGUAUAAUACCGUCCUUUAACGGUUUUCGAGGUACCCAAGUAAGCAAAUAUGCAUUCUUAUGUAAGAAUGGCAUAAUAAACAUAUUGUAGAGUCAAGCUUGACAUUCUAUAUUUAAAUAUACAUUCCUUUUCCAUAUAUAUAUAUUUUCAAUCUAAAUAAAUCUAUUUCUACCACUAAUUAUUUACUUUUCCUAUAUUUAAUAUCUAUCAAAAUCUAAUUUUUAAUUAAAUGUUUAUUUAUUUCUCUAUUUUUUAUCUACCUAAAUCUAUUUUUAUAAGUAAAUAAUUUUUUCUACCUAAUUUAACUUUUUUCUAUGUAACUGAAUAUAUAUUGUUUAUUUUUCUAUUUACUCAAAUCUAUUUUAUAUUGCUAAAUAUUUUAUUUUUAUUCUUAUCUAUUUUUAUAUUUCCCUAUUUUAGUAAUUUUUUUCCCAAUACUUCUAAAACUUAUACUGCAAAAAAAAAAAGAUUUUUCCAUAUCAUUUUUCAUAAAACAGUAUUUUUAUUUUUUAAAAAUAAAAUCAUUCAAAACCAAUAUCAAAAGUUCAAGCCCAAUGACUCAAGAGUCCAUAACAUACAAAUGCUUAGGCUAAGAUUAGCCCAUAAAGGUUGGAACCUGGGGAUGCCAGCAACUGCUCCAAAAGCCCCUUCCCUUCUUCAGCUGAACGCAUCGCUUGGUACGCAAGGAAGAAGACUUAUUCCCACUAAAACAAUGCUAUUUUGGUGGUAUUCUUGCUGCAAAGAAGCCUUUAACAAAACUGUGCCGUUUUGGCAAAUUAAUCUCCCAAAACCUUUGUCACAGCCCAAUCUCGGGUCAUUAUCGGCAUAUGGGCCCAAUAAGCAUAGCCCAUUAGGCUCAAGCAAGCCUUUCUAUUAAAACCUAUUCAUUAACCCAACUAUCACCCAUCUUUCUUUAAGAUUCAUAAUUCGUAAUUUUUCAAUAAUAAUUUCUUUGGAUAUAAAUCCUGGCCAUCAAACAUAUACCAUUCUUAAAAUAGUGUUAUUACUUGCCAACUUAUGCGAUAGAUUAAUCAAGCUAAACAUACAAUGAUUACAAUAAAUCUCACAAUUUACAUUUAACAACCAUAUACACAUGCAAAAGACCCUUGACUACCAGCGGAGUUACUCUAGGCGUGGGUACUAUCACUGAGUGUCAUUGUAAACCUACCAGUGACAAGUAUGAAUGAGCACCUCAACCUAGGAUCCAACUACCUUCGAAUCUGAAAACCAAAACAUGAAGUUGAAAAGAAUGAGUAUAAACCCAGUGAGUGAACAAAGGAAGGGAACAAGCAAACGAUAUGGAAGGUUUUAUGAAAUGUGACGCACUUAUGUUAAAAACAAUUGCAAUUUAUAUUUCAUAAACCAAACUUGAUGCUAUGUUGUCUUUUAACUCAUUUUGAAAACAUUUAGAAGUUCCAACCUUCAACAUUCAAUAUAAUCACAUUUCCAUUUCUCAAACAUCUCUACUCUACAAGAUAUGUACACAUGGUAUAAGAAUUCAUGUAUGUAUAUAUAUAUAGAUAUAGAUAUUUUCAAACAUACAUCAAAUACAUCAAGCUCACUCCUAAAAAUAGUCAACAAGGUUCGAUACAUACAACCACCAGCCUCAACUCAAGUCAUGUGCACUUUCACAUAGCACAUAGUUAUCAUCGUCAUGUGCACUCGUACACCACACAUAGUUAUCAUCGUCAUGUGCACUCCUACACCGCACAUAGUUAUUAUCAUCAUGAGCUCCCAUAUCGAACACCACCAUUACCGUCAUGUGCACUCCCACACCACACACGCACGGUUAUAACUAUCAUUCAAUAAUACCUUUCAAGGCAUAACAUAUAUAACAACACGUAAUAAGAAUCUUUGCAUAUUAAUACCUUCCACAUAGUUCAUUAGUUUUGGUCAUAUACAUAGUUUCACAAUCCAACAUCCAAGGAAAAUAAUAUUAACCAUCAUACCAUUAGUUUAAAACAUCCCAAGAUUCUCAAUGCAUCACACGCCACAAUUCAAUUGGCAAUUUAAUAUAAUAUUUCAAACACGUGAUUCAUCACAUUAUACGUUUCACAACAUAGGGAUAUCACUCAACAAAGGCUUGUUCCCAUGCAUAUUUUAAAAGAGUCAAAUAAGAAUAUUCAAUUAUUUUAUUCAAGCACAUAUGCAUUUGUCCAAAACAUUUUAAAUGCAAGUUCACUCACUCGUUUUUUUUUAUCAACUUCAAACCUCAACUAGUGCUUCAAAUGGAAAUGUGGGGUCUCGUUGGAACCUACUACACACAAUUAGCAUCACCACCAACCUAAUUCACAUGAAUAUGAAUCCAAAUGCUAUUUCUAUAGUUAAAAUUUACUAGUUCUUCUUAACUAGUUUUCAAUUACCAUUUAACUAGUCAACCUAAUACUAAUGCCACCAUUUUCAUAACACUUCAUUUAUUACUUCCCGUUUCCAGCACUAUAUCAUCCUUAUAAUUUAUAACUCUAAACUUAAUUAAUUCCCUUAGUGACAUUUUAUACCAACACAAUGCACUUUAUUAAUUUAGUCAUCCACACCACUAGUUAAACCAUGAAUUACCAUAAUUAUUAAUCAUUUCUUCCCCCAACAAUCUCAACCAAUCAAAACAGCCCUUAAUUCCCAUUCUAAUUAUCUAUUUACUUGUAAAUUAAAAAAGCCAACAUUCUAGUCAUUAACUAGUCAUUUACUUUCACUACUUAGUCACACUAGUAAUAAAUACUCACCUUUUCACCACAAUAUAAUCCAUCAACAAUAAAACGACCCACAAAUCUAAUUAUUAACCAUUAUUAACAAACUUAAAAAUUAACCAUAACCCAUUACUCACCUUGGUGGACUUGUAGUUAAUUUUCCUUGGUGAGGAUAGCUUUUGAAGGUGUUGUGAGGACUAAAAUGAAGAAUAAGUCUUUCCAGAGUUUUUUAUUUUCAAGCUAGUUUAAGGUGUUUCUCUCUCUAAAAACAUUCAACUAGUGAAAGAAAAUACGGAGGGAAGACUUUUGAGCAGAAAAAGUGAAGAGCACGAAAAUCCUAUGAAAAAAUGUACAAAAACAUGAAAUUUGGAGUUAAUAUGAGAAAGUUAUGAGAUUUCAAGAAUGGCCUCCUUGGAAGAAUGAAGGGUCUGCAGCGGGGAGAAGAAAUGAGAGGAAGAAGAAGAAAAUGAUGGAAAGUUAGGGUAUUUAUACAUAGGGUUGACAAAAAUUUCAAAUAUUUAGGAAAAUGCCAUUAAUAAGUUGACUUUGUUUUCUUUUUCUUUUUUGUGCAAUUAUUUUACUUUUUUGACAUUGAGAAAAGGUCCACAAUAGAUUAGAGGUACUCGAAUUAAUGAAAACUUAAAAAUUUAGACUCGAGAUCUAAAAUAACCAUUUUACCCCUGAGGUGGAAAUCUCUCUCUCUUUUUCAUAUUUAUAUAAGAAUAAUUUAUUGAAUCCCAGAUAUAAAAUAUUUGCUAAGACUCACCAAGAAAAAGAUGAAACUAUCCUUGGUCCACGUCAUCACUAUUACGCUAUUUUACGUGUAUAUUAAAAUUUGGAUAUCACAUUCUCUCCCCCUUAAUGUAAAUUCGUCUUUGAAUUUUAUUAAGCUUGAUUAAUCUGUAUCUUUCUAAAAGGUGUAUAUGUGAACUCCCACCUUAUCCCGACUUAUUGAGUUACUUUUCCACUUGCGUACUUAUGCUUUAACACCUCAUGGGAGCCACUUAAAAGUAUCAACUUUGUAAGCUUUAUACACUCGUGACAUCAAUCCUUAGUCGGCUAUGAUUUCUUGCUCAUUAUACCACUGCUUUAUAAUUGAACUUAAUCGAAUCAUGCUCCUAACGCACACCUCAAUAUCUUAUUCAAUGUAACCUCAAAGUAUUGAAAUAGUCUUUAUCCUCGAACAUACACAUUUGGAAUAAUUCAAGAUAAUUGCACAAGGCAUCUGAAAUUGUGCAUUUACCAGUCAUUUAGAAGUAAUCCAGAGGUAUUAAACUUCACUAGGGACCUAGCUUGGAGCAUCAUGCACCGAAAAAAUAAACAUACAUAUAUAUGUAUGUAUCGUAUGUGUAUGGUUGGGACCUUAUUGCAUGAUUAAGUUGCUUCUUGAUUUUGAAGGCUAAUUUGUGGUUAUACCAUUCUAAGGUGUGAAGUUUGAAAUUCAAUAAUUGUAUUGAUGUUAAGAAAUGUUCUGGUGGAGUCUUGUUCAUGAGCCUGCAAUUGCAAGCACACUUCAAUGAUUAAAGAAAGAUAGUACAUUGUUAAUACACUUGGUGGAUUUAGGAAAUUAUAAAACUGAUGAAAGAAAUAUCUAUUAUUAUCUAGAAAAGAUCAAUCUUUUACAAUUAUUUGAUGGGCAAUUCUGUUUCAAAUGAACACCUUGAUUUUAAGUUUGUUUCUUACUCUGAUUAAAUAUAUUUGAUGUGAGUUUAAUUAAGGGGCUAGAUGUGGAUAGCCAGGAAUGGCGUGGAAAUAACUUGGUAGGUUAAUAACUACUGGUGGACUGAGAUAUGAUUAGUAACAAUAUGAAGCCAAAAAUGUGGCAUGAUGAAAGCUUAUGUACACAAUUUAAGAUGUUAGUGAAUAGAUAUGCAUGCAAUGCUUAAAGAAUGGGAUGCUAAGCCAUGUGCUGUGAGCAUUUAAAUGGACUAUGACUUUAUGUGAUUAUAGGAAUGAUGAUAAAUGGUGCACCAAGGGCUUGGUAGCUAAGCCACAGGUCAUGUGGCAAUAUUUCGGUGACGUAUGAACUGCAUAUGAUGCAUCGAUUGCAAAGCGUAACUAUAUUGAUGUGAGUGGUGUUUUUGAAAACAUUGAGAGGUCAAUAUAGAUGAUUAAUGAUGGUACAAAUAAUUAUAAGGCAUGUUAUUAAAUAUUUUCUAUUAUAUUAUGGAAAUCUAGAUUUUAUCAUUGGUACAAUGAAACUACAUUUGAGGAAAUGAUCGUGUCUUGAUUCCAGAUCUUUCUUAGACGUAAUAGUACAUGUUAUGACAUUGUGGACUUGUCUAUAAGAAUAGGAAGUUGUUAUAAUGUGUAAACCAAAAUCUUAGAGGUCGCACGAAACUUAAAACCUCAACAAGAAUGUUAAAAAAAGGUUGAUUACAAGCCUUGAAAGGUGAAGAAGUUGGGUCAUGCUAUGUGAGACCAAUUACAACUUUCGAUAGAGAAGAGGGUUAUGGGUAAAUGAGUUUAGUAUCGCACUUGUCAAACUUGCUUAAGGUGUCUAUGUACCUACAUUAAAGAAAGAUAAUCCCAAUAUAGGCUAUUCAUGGGAAAACAAGCUAAGAUAGAUUGCACUUGAAGAAGUGGUUCCCACAAGGUGUUAAAGCAUAAGUACGCAAGUGGAAAGGUAACUCAAUAAGUCAGGAUAAGGUGGGAGUUCACAUAUACACCUUUUAGAAAGUUAAGGAUUAAUCAAGCUUCAUAAAAUUUGAGUACGAAUUUUUAUUAAGGGGGAGAGAAUGUGAUACCCCAAAUUUUAAUAUACGCAUAAAGUGGUGUAAUAGUGGUGACAUAGAUGAAGGGUAGUUUCAUCUUUUUCUUGGUGAGUCUUAGCAAAUAUUUUAUAUCCGGGAUUCAAUAAAUUAUUCUUAUAUAAAUAAAAAAGAAAAGAUUUACACCUUAGGGGUAAAAUGGUAAUUUCAGGUCAAGAGUCUAAAUUUUUAAGUUUUCAUAAACUCGAGUACCUUUUACCUAGUGUGGACCUUUUCUCAAAGUCAAAAGAGUAAAAAGAUUGCACAAAAAAGAAAAAGAAGACAAAGUCUAUUUAUUAAUGGCAUUUUCGUAAAUAUUUGAAACUUUUGUCAACCCUAUGUAUAAAUACCCCAACUUCCCAUCAUUUUCUUCUUCUUCCUCUCAUUUCUUCUCCCCGCUGCCUGCCCUUCAUUCUUCCAAUGAAGCCAUUCUUGAAAUCUUCAUAACUUUCUCAUAUUAAUUCCAAAUUUCAUGUUUUUUGAACACUUUUUCAUAAGAUUUUUCGUCCUCUUUCGCUUUUUUUUUAUAUCCAAGAUCAUGACAAAAUCACACAUCAUGAUAAACGAUAAUUCCUAAUAAACAUUAUCAAUUCAAAUGGCAUCUUGUACCUUGCUAAAAAAAACUAGGGUUACCAUUCAACAAUCAAUCACAUUAAUUGGUAACCAUUUCAUAGUACUGUAAAAUAUGUUUAUUGUUAGGUCUUGUAAUUGCUUGUACCAUUAAUGUCUUUUUAUGUCAACCUUUCAUAAUUGUAUAAGGCGACCAAUCACGCCACUAAGAUGAAUAUCUUUCCUUAAUCAUCAUAAUGCUAAUCUACAUUUGUCAUACAUGAAGAUUCCAAUACGCAUCAAGUCAUGAAAAUAACUACUUCAUAAUUCUUUUAAGUCAUAUAAAAAUAAAAGUCAAACUCUUAAAUCCUUCAUACAGAUAGCAACUACUACUUAAUUCAAACCGCAUUUGUAUAGACUUAAAGUUAUACGAAAUUCAAUAAAAGUAUUAGGUUUUACUAUGAUCAUCGUUGCCUUAAUCUGAACUCAUCGACAGAUCAUAAUCCGAGUCAUCCUCUGUCUCUCGAGGAUUCCCCACAUACUCCUCAUUCUCUCCUUGUUGUUUCUCCACAUCACUUUGCAAGUUGAGAGUUGUGACACCUCUCUCUGUGAAAGGAGGGAAGUCCCAAACAAUUGACACCUUUCUUGGACGAUAACCUUUUGCAACUACCUAUUUCAUAUUUUCUUUAACUUUUUCCUCAAGAACUUUUUCCUUACUUUUUCCCUUUCAAGGCUUUCCCAACUACGAAGUAUUAUUUGCGCUCUUGGUGGAAUCCAUCCAAUGGGAAUUCGGGGCUGGCCACUUUCUCGACUUCUUUGCUUAAGGCGCCAAUGGCUCUUAGUAGUGGAAUUUAGUGAUCCCUCGCUAGUACUAUAAGGGGUAUCUUGACUACUACUUCUUCUAGACAUGGCAUGUGUAACAAGCGCACCUCCAAACUUGUACACAACCAAGCAUCAAUUACUUAGUCAUUUAUACAUUAUAGGAAUAGAUAGGUUUUUUGAUGAAUUAGGGGCCUAUGUAGCCUCCCGUUCUUGGCUUGUGUUGCGUACCCACAAUCCAAGAAUAAGACUAUACAUGGAUUUCAACAAUUUCACUGACAGAAACAAGAAUCCAUAGGACUCACCUAAAUCUAGGGCUCUGAUACCAACUUUGUCACAGCCCAAUCACUGGUCAUGAUUGGCACACGGGCUUAAUAGGCAUAGCCCAUUAGGCCCAAGUAAACCUUUCUAUUAAAACUUGUUCAUUAACCCAACUAUCACCCAUCUUUCUUUAAGAUCCAUAAUUUGUAAUUUUUCAAUAAUAAUUACUUUGAAAAAAAAUCCUGACCACCAAACAUAUACCAUUAUCAAAAUAGUGUUAUUACUUGCCAACCUAUGAUGACAACAUUAAUCAAACUAAACAUACAAUGAUUACAACAAAUCUCACAAUUUACAUUUAACAACCAUAUACACAUGCAAAAGACCUAUAACUACCAGCGGAGUGACUUUGGGCGUGGGUACUAUAACUGAGUAUCAUGGUAAACCUACCAAUGAUAAGUAUGAGGGAGCACCUCAACUUAGGAUCCAACUACCUUUGAAUCUAAAAACCAAAACAGGAAGUUGAAAAGAGUGAGUGUAAACCUAGUGAGUGAACAAAGGAAAGGAACAAGUAAACGAUAUGAAAGGUUUUAUGAAACGUGAUGCACUUAUGUUAGAAAAAAUGCAAUUUAUAUUUCAUAAACCAAACCUGAUGCUAUGUUGUCUUUUAACUCAUUUUGAAAACAUUUAGAAGUUCCAACCUUCAACAUUCAAUACAAUUACAUUUCCAUUUCCCAAACAUCUCUACUCUACAGGAUAUGUACACAUGUGUAUAAGAAUUCAUGUAUAUGUAUAUAUUAUGUAUAUAUAGAUAUUUUCAAACAUACAUCAAAUACAUGAAACACACUUCCAAAAAUAGUCAACAGGAUCUGAUGCAUGCAACCACUGGCCUAAACUCAAGCAUGUGCAGUCUCACAACGCACAUAGCUAUUAUCGUUAUGUGCACUCCCACACCGCACAUAGUUAUCAUCGUCAUGUGCACUCCCACACCGCACAUAGUUAUUAUCAUCAUGAGCUCCCAUACCAUACACCACCAUUACCAUCAUGUGCACUCUCACACCGUAUACGCACGGUUAUAACUAUCAUUCAAUAAUACCUCUCAAGGCAUAGCGUAGAUAACAACACGUAACAAGAAUCUUUGCAUAUUAAUAACUUCCACAUAAUUCAUUAUUUUUGGUCAUAUACAUAGUUGCACAAUCCAACAUCUAAGGAAAAUAAUAUUAAUUGUCAUACCACUAGUUUAAAACAUCCCAAGAUUUUCAAUGCAUCACACGCCACAAUUCAAUUGGUAAUUUAAUAUAAUAUUUCAAACACGUGAUUCAUCACAUUAUACGUUUCACAACAUAGGGAUAUCACUCAACAAAAGCUUGUUCCCAUGCAUAUUUUAAAAGAGUCAAAUAAGAAUAUUCAAGUAUUUCAUUCAAGCACAUAUGCAUUUGUCCAAAACAUUUUAAAUGCAAGUUCACUCACCCAUUUUUUUAUCAACUCCAAACCUCAACCAGUGCUCCAAGUGAAAAUGUGGGGUUUCGUUGGAACCUAUUACACACAAUUAGCAUCACCACCAACCUAAUUCACAUGAAUAUAAAUCCAAAUGCUAUUUCCAUAAUUAAACUUUACUAGUUCUUCCUAACUAGUUUUCAAUUACCAUUUGACUAGUCAACCUAAAACUAAAUCCACCAUUUUCAUAACACUUCAUUUAUUACUUCCAUUUUCUAACACUAUAUUAUCCUUAUAAUUCAUAACUCCAAACUUAAUUAAUUCCCUUAGUGACAUUUUACACCAACACAAUGCACUUUAUUAAUUUAGUCAUCCACACCACUAGUUAAACCAUGAAUUAUCAUAAUUAUUAAUCAUUUCUCCCUCAACAAUCUCAACCCAUCAAAACAGCCCCUAAUUCCCAUUCCAAAUAUCAAUUUACUUGUAAAUUAACAAAGCCAACAUUCUAGUCAUUAGCUAGUCAUCUACUUUCACUACUUAGUUACACUAGUAAUAAAUGCUCACCUUUUCACUACAAUAUAAUCCAUUAGCAAUAAAACAACCCACAAAUCUAAUUAUUAACUAUCAUUAACAAAUUGAAAAAUUAACCCUAACCCAUUACUCACCUCGGUGGACUUGUAGUCAAUUUUCUUUGGUGAGGAUAGCUUUUGAAGGUAUUGUGAGGACUAAAAUGAAGAAAAAGUCUUUCAAGAGUUUUUUUAAGCUAGUUUAAGGAGUUUCUCUCUCCAAAAACAUUCAGCUAGCUAGAGAAAGUGCGGAGGGAAGACUUUUGGGGGGUUUUGAGCUGAAAAAGUGAAAGAGUAUGAAAAAUCCUAUGAAAAAAUGACAAAAACAUGAAAUUUAGAGUUAAUAUGAGAAAGUUACGAAGAUUUCAAGAAUGGCCUCCUUGGUAGAAUGAAGGGUUUUCAACGGGAAGAAGAAAUGAGAGGAAGAAGAAGAAAAUGAUGGAAAGUUAGGGUAUUUAUAUAUAGGGUUGACAAAAAUUUUAAAUAUUUACGAAAAUGCUAUUAACAAGUUGACUUUGUCUUCUUUUUCUUUUUUGUGCAAUUUUUUACUCUUUUGACAUUGAGAAAAGGUCCACAAUAGAUUAGAGGUAUUCGAGUUUAUGAAAACUUAAAAAUUUAUACUCAAGAUCUAAAAUUACUAUUUUACCCUUAAGGUGAAAAUCUUUUUUUUUUAUAUUUACAUAAGAAUAAUUUAUUGAAUCCCAAAUAUAAAAUAUUUGCUAAGACUCACAAAGAAAAAGAUGGAACUACCCUUGGUCUACGUCAGUUCUAUUAUGCUACUUUACGCGUAUAUUAAAAUUUGGGAUAUCACAAUCUUACCUAUAAAAACCCCUUUUCGCUUUCUCUCUUCCCUUUUCUUCCUCCACUUUCUCUCUUUAGCAGCUGCCCUCUCUCUUCCUCUUCCAAGCCUAAAAAUCUUGCUACCAACCAUCACCACCAUGCCACCAUUUGUACCAUUGCCACUCUUCGACCAUCACCUCCCUUCUCUCUCGAUUUUCACCCUCACUUCAAAUCUUAACACUCAGCCCAAAACAUCACCUUUCUCCCUCACCCUCAUUGCUUCCUACUUUACUUCUUCUUUGCAUAUUUUUUACUUUCUGUUCUAUGACAUUUUUUUAUUUUCGUCUAAGGCUAAUAGGGUUGGAAAGUUAGGAUUUUUGGUUGAUUUUGGUUUUUUUGUGAAAAUUGGUCUCUCUCUAGGGUUUUUUAUUGUGAAAUUCAAUCGCCUUUUGAUUUGGGAAGAGGCUUUAUAGCUACCCUCAAGUGCUGGGGAUAUAGUUGGGAUGGCGGAUGUGGCUUGCCGAACGCAAUUCUCACGCUUGGUAUGGUGCAUCUGCACCUUAUUUGUUUGCUGGGCAUGUUUUUUUGUCGCCAUGCCCAGCUCAUCCUCUUCUUCUUUCUUCUUUCUUUUCCUUUCUCUCUUCUUUUUUAUUUUUUUGAUUUUCAAAUCUUUUAUUAUUUUUUUAAAAAAAUUGGUGUCUACACAACCCAAAAUCAUUUUAUUGCUGCUUUUGUUAUUUAUUAUUUAUUUUCGAAAGAAAAAAGUAGAUAGUGCAUUUGGUUAUAAAUGAAAAUAAUAUUUUUUUUGAAAUGAUUAAAAUUAUAAUUAUACUAAUUUAUAAGAGCAUAAUCCAUGCUUUUACUUUGUUAUAUAUAGAACAAUUAGAAUUAUUAAUGUGCUAUUUCCGAUUCAUCCAUCAAUGUGAACUAAUAAGAUUUUUCAAAAUUUAUCAGAUGGCUUUCUGUCAGUUGUAUCAUUGGAAAAAACGAUGGCAGGAGAUUGGAAAGAAUAUUUAGAAUGUAAAGUAUGAGGUUCAUAAUUCAUAUAUGAUGCAAAUACAUGUUAUUUUUAAAACCACAAAUGGUGAGCUUGAAACAUUUCAAACUUUUUUAUUACAGUGAUCAAGUGAAGGUUACUAGUUACCAUGGAACACCUAAUAGAAAGGCUUAGUACUUUCCACCAUACCACAGCACACCUUAUUCCUUCCCUUUAAUGAGUUGUAUUUGUAGGGAAGCUCCGGAGCACAACUGUGUCAACGGUGAUACCAGCCCCUAAUCCCAACAAAAAGCCCCACUCUAGACCUUCUCCCGUGGCCUUUCCUACCUCCAUGGACCUCCUUCUCAUCUCAUCCAGAAUAAAGAACACGGUUGCAGAACUCAUGUGUCCAAAUUCUCUAAGCACAUGUCGAGUUGUUAAAAGUUUUUCCCUUUUCAGCCCAAGUUUGAUUUCAAUCUGGUCGAGGAUUGCAUUCCCCCCUGGAUGAACUAUCCAAAAGAAUGAGUUCCAAUCAUUAUUGCUUAUUGGGCUUAAUGCUUCCGCCAAGCACUUGUCAAUGUUAUCAGCAAUCAAUUUUGGAACAUCCCUUGACAGGUUAAUACUGAGGCCUGCUUCAUGUAUGUGUCCUUCAAUUGCACCAUGCGAGUCAGGAAUAAUAUUCUCUGAUGCGGAAACAAUUUGAAAGAGUGGCCUUUCCUUUAAGGCAUUAGGGUCAGCACCAAUAAUCAUAGCCGCUGCACCAUCACCCAAAAUGGCAUUGCCAAUGAGCGAAGGUGUGUCAUGUUCAUUGGGUGCACGAAAAAUACCAAGCAAAAUUUCAGAGCUGACGACAAGAACUCGUGCACCGGCAUUGUUUUCAGCGAUGUCCUUGGCCAUUCGGAGGAUGGCGCCGCCAGCAUAGCAGCCUUGGAAGUACAUCAUCACUCUCUUGACUGAUGAUGGUAGGCCAAGCAGCUUUGUAAGACGAUAAUCUGCUCCAGGCAUGUCCACACCCGAAACUGCAGAAAAUAUGAGGUGUGUGAUCUGAGAUUUUGGUUGUCCCCACUCCUGGAUCGCUUUUGAUGCUGCUUCCAUGGCAAGUUUAGGUACUUCAGCGGCAAGAAUUUGUUGACGUAUGUCAAGAGAUGGGCUGCUGUGGUGCUGAUGUUGGGAUUCUUAUUAAUAAUUUCUUCAGUGAGGACAAAGUGGCGUUUGCUUAUCAUUGAUUUCUCACCUGUUUGAUUUAUAAGUAACCAUCAUAAUAUAACAACAUAUGCCAAAAAAAAAAGAAGGAAAAAUCAAAAUGUAGUGACUAAUGAAUUUUGCUAUCUAAGUAGAAAUCAGAUAUGCGUAAUAAUCCUUACAUAGCUUUAUACUUAAAAGCUGUAGUCAUAAUUUAUAAUGAAAAAUUGAAAAAUACAUUUUUUUUAUAAUUUUUUUAAUACGAGUGAAAAUUGAAUGAUUAACCGUAUCAUGAAUUUUGAUGACUAUAAUAAUGUUUAUACAUAUAUAUAUAUAUAUGAUUAAACUUUGUCAACUUAUUCUUCAAAAAAACUCAUCAUCAACUACAUACUUACAUAUACGUUUGAAUUUUUCUUUCAAUUGUGUCAUAUGCUCGCUUUUAGUGACUCUAAAAUAAUAAUCAGGAAAGUCAGCUUGAGAGAUACAAUAAGCCGCAGUUGCUUUGCCAAUGGAAAGAAUUGUUGCCAGGCUUUGCGCUGGUUUCCUCCUUCCAAAAUUCUCAGGUAAAGCCAUUGCUGUCAACCUGGUGGUAUAGAAGAACUAUGGAUACUCAAAGCAGGAAUGUGAUGGAAAAAAGGAAAAAUGCUGGAUUUAUAUAGUAAGUCUAUAAGUUGUAGAAAAUAGGUUAUCUAUUUUGGGUGUAUCCGUAUCCAAUUAUGAUGAGAGAAAAAGGGUUAGUAUUUUAUUAUUAAUUAGAUUAAUGUGGUGGCAGUGGCACUAGGAAGAGAGAUGGUUAGGCAGGAAGGUUUUUGCACAGCAUAGGGAAGGCUUGAACUACCCUGUGCGACAAGCCAUGACUAGUCCGUAUCCAUUCCGCCAGGUAUCUCAUUUUUCUGAAGUCCCAAUUAUGCUUUAUAUAAAAAAACCUAGAUAGCAAAAUACCAGAAAACUUAUGUUAAAAUAUGGGAAAUAACUUUAAUACCCUUAAUAUUAGAAUUAUUAUAGUUUAGAUCUAGACUAGAAGUCAAAACAACAACCACCGUCAACAAAACAUUCAACCAGCAUUAGUAAAUCCAAAUAGAAAUUACAAAUCACUAAAAACAAAAAUCAAUAAAAAAAACUAAAAAAAUAAAAUACAAAAGUAAUUGAAAAAAAAACAAAAAAAAUACAAACCCAAAAAGGAAGAAAAUGUGCUCUGUCAAUUUUGAAAAACUUUAUGAGUUUUAGGAAAAAGAAGAGAUUUAAGGUUAAAGCGAGAAAGAAGAUUGUCAAAUGAGAGAGAAAAAUAAUUAGUGAAAGGGCAUGAAAGGGAGAGAGGGAGGGGAAAUUGGGAAAAGUUAAUUUUGAGAGACAAAAACGGGGAAGGUAUCUGAUAGAGACAGAAAAAGAAUUAAUUAUUUUACAAUAAUAAAAAAAUAUAAAAAUAAAAAAUCAAAUAUAUCAUUUUUAAUGAAUUGAUUUUUAUUUUAAAAGUUAAAAAAACACAAUGCAUACUAUACAAUGUAAAAAUUUAUUAAUAACGUUGAAACACUAAACAGAUUCUUUAAAAAAAUAAGUACUUUAAAAUAAUUAUUUUAGAUUUAUUAUUACUCUUAUUAUUUAUAAUUUUUUAAUUAAAAAUUGUUCCUUAUUAUUAUUAUCAUUAUUUAUAAAAUUUUUUUAUUUAACAUUAAUUUUUUAUAAAUAUUGGAAAAAGAAAAGGUAGCCCGACGUAGCGGGGCACCAUUCUGGUUACUAUUUAAACUAUAAUUAAUAAAUGUAUUAAAAUUAAUUAUUAAGAAGGGCCUAGGGGUUGGGGGGAGGGGGGUGAUUAUGGCAUGAUAAGCAGUUAAACUGUACAAACAAGAUUAGACCUAUCCAAAGAGUAGUAUAUCCCCUAAGCCUACACGCUUAGUCCCAAUUCUAGAUUUAGAUUUUCUUAGUGUCUAUUUGGAUUUAUUUUUUUUAGUUUAUUUAUCUCAUAAAAGCAAAAAUCAAACCAAACAUAAUUUUUCAAAAAAUUCUUAAAAAAUAAAAAAAUUUAAAAAAACAGCUUAAAGAAAAGCUCCAAGGAGGAGCUUUUUCUUCUCUUCUUUUAAACACACAUUAAUUUUUCAAGAAAUACUCCUCUCUCAACCAAUCUCUCUCUCCUCUUCUUGCCUUUGCAAAUCACCAUUUUCUAAUGCAAAUUGUGAUCUCCCUCUCUUCUACCUUUCUCUACAAAAAACUAUGAAAAAAAAAAAACUGAAGACUCAACAAUAGAAUACCAAGAUUUAAAAUUUUUUUGUUCUUACAAAGAUUAAGAGAAAAAAAAUUUAAAUUUAAAAUUGCGUUCAUAUACUAUUUAAAAGUUUUCUUUCUUUUUCAUCAAAAAGGAUUUUAAUGUCAAAUACACUAUUUUCUCUUUUCUCUUCUUUUUUUUGAAAUUAAAGUCUCAUAGUCUGAUUGUUUGCUAGAUAAACAAAAAUCUAUUACUAUUACUACUAUACAAGUUUGAGAGUUAUUCCGUUUCUUUAUUGAUUUCUUUAAUUUUAACAUUUGAAAUCAUAUAUAAACUUAAAGUGUUCCAUUGUAGUUUAUUAAGUGAUUGAAGAUGGCAUGAAUACCCUUUAUGGUAAUUUUAAUCGAAAUUAAAGUUUAUAUAAUUUAUUUUGUUAAACAGUUUACCAAACAGUUUUAACUUAAUUUUAAAAAUUAUUAUUUUUUAUAAAAGUUUCAUAAUAGCUUUUGAGCUAAAAUAAGCUAGGCUAAACAUGCUUUUAGUGUUGUGUGGUUCAAAAUUAUUAUUAAUAUAUUUGUAUUUAGUUUGAACUUUUAAAUUAUACUAAUAUAAAAAUAUUUUUUAUUAUUUUAAUAGUAAAAUAUUUUGUGCAUAUUAGUUUUGGCUCGAAGUUGAUUCAAAUUACUUUAAUAUAUAUAUAUAUAUAUAUAUACAGUUAAAAUUUUGAGAAUGUGUAUAUAUUUGUCUUUAGUUUCAAGAUAACCAAUGUUAUAAAUUUAGGGUUAAAUGUUCAAAUUGGGGUUAAAGAUUUGGAUAUUUUUUCAAUUAAAGACUAAAUGUUUCAAUUGUAAAAAUUAAGGUCUAAACAUUUUCGGUUCUUUACAAUUAAGGACUAAGGUGAGAGUAUUUAGCGCGUGUAGGACACAUGCAUGGCGUGGACUGUCAAGUCUUUUCUGUUAGAAAGUCUUUUUUGUCAUGUUAAAAUGGUUUAAAUUAUAUCAUGGCGUGUAACAACUUUUUCAUCAUAGCAUGUAAUAAUAAAAUUUUUUAAUAUAACGUGUAACAAUUAAAUCUUCAACAUGACGUGUAACCAUGGGCAGACCCACAUUAGAAGGAGUGGUGUCACACGACAUCACUCACUUCUUAAAAUGUUUUAGUUUUUAUAUUAUUUAUCUAAAAUUUAGGAUAAUUAAUAUACUAAUUAAACUCAUUAUUUUUUUUACAAUUUUAUAGAGAGUGAGGUCAAAGACUCCAAGUAAAAGUGAUUUAUCAAAAAGUAAUUUAUAAAUUACUAUUUAAAUACUAUAAGAAAAGAAAAAAAAUUUCUUCUAUAAUUUAAGAUUUUAUUAAAAAAAAUCAAAACCUAAACUACUCACCUUGUCUAAAAAUUCAAGUCCUUCCCUUUCUCGGUCAUUGAUUGUGUUUUUCACUCUCUCAAAACAACUCAUUUACGCUUCAAUUAUAAGUAAUUUUCAACCCAAAUUAAGUUUUUAAAUAUUUCAUAUCCAAAUAUUUUUUUGAUUAGUUUGAUAAUUUGGGUUCAGAGUUAUAAUCUAGCUAAUAGAAAAUAGUAUUGCAUGUCAAAUAAUAUCAUGAAAUUGUCAGCCUUUUUUCUGAUUUAUUUUGUAGAUAUAUUAUUUGAUUUUUGUAUUUAACUUUAGGUGGUUUGUGGAUGCUUAUAUUUAAUUUUGAUCCAUGAAUAGAAAAUUGUCAUAUUGUUAGUUACUAAACUUGAUAAUUUGCUAUGUAACAUUAUAUUUUAUUAAAUUUUAAUAUUUUAAUUUAUACUAAUGAAUAGUAAUUUUUGACAAAUUUUAUAAUUUUAAACAAAUAAGACAUGGAAAGAUAUUUUAAAAGAAAAUAACUUGUCUCACAAGACUCAAAUUGACAACAAAAAAAAUUCUACUAAUGAUGAUACUCAAAAGUAUUCUUCUAAUUAAAGUCAUGUUGAAUUUGAUUUAAAUAUUCUCCAAAUAGAUCUUAACUCAAGAAAAAAUAUUUCUAACUAUUAUGAUACCACCCAGAAAAAUUUCUAAGUCCAUCGUUGCAUGUGACAACUAUAUUUUUCAAUAUUACGGGUAACAACUAAAUUUUUAACAUGACUUAUAAUAAUUAUAUUUUUAACAUGACGUAUAAUAAAAGGAGAAACAAGGGUGGCUUGAAAGGAAGAAAAAAAAAUUGUGUUCUAGGGGAGUCCGCCCCUUGCAUGAACCAAGGGUGGCGUGUAAUAAACUGGAGAAACUAUUAAAAUGCAAUUGGAACAAAGGAUGUUUUUCCUUGCGGCCGACUUUCUGCAGAUUUUGAAACUGGUUGCUGCAUGCUCAUGCCCAUGCUCUGAAAGGCCGGUCCAUGUAAUGUAUGGUGCCAAAAAUGCCUCUGCCUAUUCUUGUAACCACCAAGUUUUGCCUUCAAAGUCAUUCCGCUUGUCUCUUUUCCAUCAAAGCCCUUAUUUCGGAUGCCUAUUUUUCAAUUUUUACAAUGUGAACUUUAGUAUAAGUUUACUUUUGCUUGGGUAUUGAUCUUAAUCUUGGUAUUUGGAACUUUAAAUUGAAAUUUUGGAGCUGUUAGGGUAGUAAUGUGGUUGCUUUAAGCUUAAUGAAAGCAGGAAAAUAUUUGAAAGUUGGAAAUUUAGAAUGUCUGAACUGUUUAAAGGAUUUGAUGCUUGAAUGUUAGGCAUAAAUUGUGGUUUAAAAGCUAUUCAUUGAAAGUGAAGCAAACUAGUUCAAAGAAGCUGUGUUGUGAUUACAUGCUAGGAAAGCUCAAGAUUUUAUUUGGGAAGCUCGCCUAUUUGUACUUGGAAGCUUCAAGAAAAAUAUAUUGAAACUUAAGGAAUAUUUUGUUUUUCUGUCCAUGAAUUUCCAAACCCUACUUUUCAAAAAAAAAAAAGUUUACAACAAUUAUUUUCAACAUGACGUGUAACAGUUAAAUUUUAAAAUAUAGUGUGUAACAUUACAUUUUUUAAAACUACCAUAUCAUCAGUUUACGUAAUUUCUGUUAUAUGUGAUACACACGUUCCAUCCAUCUGUCAACUUAAUCCUUAAUUGUAAAAAAUCGAAAACUUUAGGCCCUUGAUUUUUUCAAUUUAAAUGUUUAGUAUUUAAUUGAAAAAGUAUCCAAACGUCCAUUUUCAAUUUAAACAUUUAGCCUAAAUUUAGAGAUUUAAAAAAUUCUUCUACCUUCCAAAGUCAAAAGUUUUUCAUUAGUUUGUUUUUGACCUUCGCCAUUAAUAACCUCUUAAUUAGGUACAAGUUUCUUUUAAUUUGUCAUAAUAAUUUUUUAAUUGAGGUAAAAGAUAUCAUCAAUUCCAUUUAAAAAUGGUUUGUUAGGGAAUUCGUCUCUUUGAGAACUGUCUAAAGGACAAACCUUUCGAGUUGCAUUUGUAGGCCUCAAUGCGGUCAGUGAUGUGUUUCAUUGGUCAAGAGAUAGAGGAGUGAUUGUUUGUCCAUGAAAUUACGUUCUGCGAGUUGCUUUCAAUAAUGAGAGCGAGAAAAGAUCUAAGAGGAGGAUGAAAAUAUGAGUAAACCUUCCAUGAUGGUCAUUAAUUCGACGUAGUCAAAGUCUUUCAUAUCAAUGGAUUUGGAGAAAACACUUUGAUGCUUCCUGUAUGACUCGUAAUUUUCUAUUUACUACAUUUUGUCUCAAAUUUUAUAUCCAAGAGAAUUCAACCGUACAUGUCAAAAUUUCUUCUCCCAUCAAACGAGGAAUCUAAGAGUAACGCUCUGAUACUAAAAAAAAAAAUCCAAAAAUUUAUUGGGGGAGAAUGAUGCCAGAAUUAUCCCUUUAGAAGCUUGGACUUGGACUCCCAGAGGAGGAUUUUCCUCUAGGAAGAAACAAAAUAAUUGCAACUUGCAAGCUGCCAACAGUUAUUUCCUUUCCCUUUUGCAAACUGCUUGAAUUAUGAUUUCUGUAAUGAUUAUCUUCAAGAUUAAUUAAAUUAUCAUUUAUUAUAGUAAUAUGAUUGUAUUAUGAUCACAAUAUUUCAUAAUUAAUGUGAUGCAUUUCAAUAUUUUAAAAUAAUUUUAAAAAGUGUUGUAAAGACAUUUGGUAACAGAAUUAUUAGUGUAUUUAUCUUAAUAUAACAAAAUUGUUAAUGUAUUUAUCUUAAUAUAAAUUUGUGAUAAAAUUUAGCGUUGUAUUUGAUUAUUUGCAGUCUCUUGUCAAUUGCAUUUUGCUAGCUUAGUGGUUAGCAUGAGCUUGUCACUUUUUGGUUGUUUAUUAAUAAUUUUUUUUGACAUAAUAGUUGGUGUAUGCUUUCUCUUUUCAAAGAGUUGUAUUCCAACCUAUAUUCCAAUAUAAAACAUUAAUUAACACUUUGUCCUUAGGCACAAAAAUGAUAGAAUGAGCUGUAUCCUUUUAUAGUUUGAAUAAAUAAACAAAGAACAACAAAAUCUUUUUUUUGUAUUUAUUUACAUUUGAUGCAUUGGCAAUGUAGAGCUCUUAUACACUGUCAAGGCAUCAAAUGGUGCCACUUCAUCAAAAAAUAAAUUUAAAAUUUUAAGAGAUUUAAAAAUAAAUAUUAUUAUUUUUUCAAAAAUAAUAAUAAUUUCUUUCUAUCUCCAACUCCAUCUCACCCAAUCUCUUCUUCUUUCUCAUAUUCUUCUUCUCUUGUUAUAAUUUCAAAACUUUAAAUUCUUAAUUUGAUUCUUAAAGAUAAUAUUUAUUUCGAUCUCCUUCUUAGUUUACCAUUUUCUAUAUACUGUGAUUGUUUAUUUAUCACUUUUAUUUGAUUAAAGAAAGAGGCUUUUCAAACACUCUAGACACAUACACUGUGAAGACACCGUUAUGAAAUUUCAACGUGAUAAUCUUGUGGGACUCAUGCUAUUAAGAAGAAAAAUAGAUUUUUGUUUACAAAUUUGUGUUUAGGGUUUUUUUCCCUUCAUCUGUUCAGAAAUCUAAGAAGAGGUUGUACUUGGUAGAUUUUUGUUUCGUCCUAUUUAAUCUCCAAUGAAUCUAGAAUAUGUGGACUUGCUAGAGUGAAGAAAGCUUGAGUUUUAUAGAUUUUUUAUAUGCUACACAUUGCUAUGUAGGUCACGAAUCCCACACCAAUAAGUGAUGGGGUGAGUCUUAGGUAUAUAAACAUGAGCAUUUCACUACCUAUCAAGCACGUUUUUUGAGUUAAGAAUGUGGGUUGGUGAUUUAUAAGCUUACUUAAACUCUAUUUUCAAAGUUUAAGGUCGCAUGAGAUUGGACUAAGUACUGGGCCGUGACAUUUGGUAUCUUAGCAGACUCGAAUCUUCAUUAGUAUGGGGUCCCCAUGAAAGAUACAAGGGUCGAGGUCGACUUGGAUUAGUGUAAGAGUUCUUCUCCUCUAUGAGUAAAGAGCCAGUGUAACGGGGGUGUCGCACAAUUAAGUGGGGUAGAAUGUCAUGAAUCUCACAUCCUGAAGAGAUAAGGCAAGUUUUGGGUAUAUAAACAUGGGCCUUCCACCAUCUAUUAGGCAUGCCUUUUGGAUUAGCAAUAUAGAUCCAUAAUUUAUAAGCUUACUUAAACUCUAUUUUUAGAAUUUAAGGUUGCACGAGGUUGAGCUUAAAUUCCAAUCCAUGAUAAGUGGCAUUAAAGCAGACCCAAUCUUGACCUAAUUUCAUGCUAAGCACCUUUGGGGGAGGCAGCUAGGGUGGUCGAUAGCGACUAGAGCGUUAUCGGAUUGGGUGGGUGAGGAUGUCACUCCUAGUCCUUUAAGAAGGAAGUAGGUAGGGCGCUUCCAAAAAUCAAACAUUGGGUAGGUAAGGGAGCCUUGGGUGACUUAUAAACAGUGGCACUACACAUCCCAUCAUAUUAGCCAUUUAGGAAGCAGGGGUGAAGCCUCCUUUAAUUUUGGUGGGGCCAUGGUCGCCCCAAAAUUUUUAAAUUUUUUUAUAUCAUAUAAAAUUUUUAAUAUAAUAUCUUAAUGGGCUCCUUCAAAAUAAUUUUUCAUUUAAUAAUUAAUGCAAAUAAAGAAUAAUAAAAAAAUCUCACUUCUCACUCAAUUUAAUUUUUUUAAUUUCUAUUAUUAUUUUUAUUUAUAUUUGUGUUUACUAUUUGCUCAUGUUCUAAGUUUCUACAGAUUUUCUCUCCAAAUUUCUACACCAUUCUUUUUUUUUAUUAUAUCAUAUAUGGGUUUUAUUUUCUACUUGCCAUGUUUUUCUUUUUCCUAUUAUGUGAAUUUUAUUUUCUAUGAUUUUAUUCUUCAAAAAUUAAUAAAUUAUUUUGUAAUUCUCAAAUGUAAGUUGUAGUGUUACACUAUUACUUAAACUUUCAUCAAUGUAUCAUUUUUUUAUUAAUCUUGAUUAUUUAAGAAAAAAUUAUUAUAAAUAUAUAUUUUUUAUAUACUUUACAUUUUAUAUUUAGUUGAAAGGAAAUUAUUUUGAGUAUAUAGUCUUUAAACAAUCUUGGAGAAAAUUAUUAAUCUUGUAUAUCGUAUUUAAAUAUUUAUAUUUUAUAUAUUAUAGUUUUAUAUUUAGCAUUAUAAGUUUAAAUAGAAAUAAAAUAAGAAUAUUGGAGGUUGACUAUAUUAAUUUUUUUCAAGUUUGAUUAAAGUAUGAGUAAGUUGAAAACAAUUGACAAAUUCUUUAAAAGAAAAGAUAUAAAUCAUUUAAAUGAUUCUCUUACAUUUGAAUCACCAAGCCUCAAUGAUUUAACUCAUAAAUAAGAACAAUGCGAAUCAAAAUGUUAAAAACUCAAUUCUAAAGAAAUAGAUGUUUUUCAGUACAUAAUUAGUAAUUGAUGAAUUUGAAUUCAAAAAAUUGAGCACAAUUUUCUUGAAAGAUUAUUGUAAGACUUUCUUUUCUUGAUUUAUAUGUUAUAUAUAAUUAUUUUUUAUUAUAAAUCUUUUAAUUGUUGGUUAAAUUCAACAUAUUAAUUUUUAAAAUUUUUAACCCUUAUUCUUUUGUCUUUGGCCCUCCUAACAAAAAUUGGCUAGCACUGCUCCUGACUGGUUGGGAUCUCUUGCAUUUAUAUUUCCAGAAAGCAAUUAUAUUUCUUUAGGGUUGAUGUUUUGCUUUCGACCUUUUCCAACUGCUUUACUCCAGGGCAAAUCAGCCAUUGCUGAACAAAUAAAAAAUUUUACCUCAUUAUCUAUUAUCUUUUUUUGAAAGUAAUUUUAAAUAGAGUAGUGAAAUAAAUAUUAGGAAUUAAAUUAAUAAGAAGAGUACAAUAAAUAUUACUUUGAAGAAUCAAAAUUAAAAAUUUAGAAUUUUACUUUUCAAAAAAAAAUUAGGAUUUUGAAUCUAUUGUUGUCGAGGGAAUAAGAAGAAGAGAUUGAAUAAGAGAGAGUAAGAGAGAUAAAAAAUUAUUUAUCCUUUUUUAAAAUUUUUUUAAAAAAUUAAUAAUAUUUAUUUUAAAAAUCUUUUAAAAUUUUGAACUUAUUUUUUAAUUAGGUGGUAUGAUCUUAUGUCUUGAUAGUAUAUAAAAAUUAUACACUGUUAAUACAUCAAAUAUAAAUCCUAAUUUUAAAUAAGUAAAUUAGUUUAACACAGACUUUAGGAGCCAAGUCCACUUCACACCUCACUGUCGUAAUGUCUGCUUUUAUGAUUUAUCUUGAAGCCUCAUCUUAGAUAUCAAAUUAGUAAGAAAUAAGAUCGAUUUUGGAUUUAUAAAUAAUAACUAAUUAUAAACAAUAUGUUAUAAAAACUAAGGUGAUAAUUAAUAAAGUUAUUAAGUAUAAUCAUAUAAAUAAAGUCUAUUAUAAGUUCUAGUAAUACUUAUGUAUAAAUUAAAUAUAUAUAAUAUUUUACUUUAUUAUAUAAAUGAAAUUAAUGACACAACUUAUAUGUUAUAAUGUUUUUAUAUCAAAGUUUGUAUAAAUAAUAACUAACUAUAAACAAUAUGUUAUAAAAACUAAGAUGAGAACUAAUAAAGUUAUUAAGUGUAAUCAUAUAAAUAAAGUUUAUUAUAUGUUAUAGUAAUGCUUAUGUAUAACUUAAAUAUAUAUAUAUAUAUAAUAUUAAUACAAUUAUAUAUAUUUAUAAUAUUUUAUAAUACAAAACAUUACUAAAGUGUAAUAAUGAUAACAUAUUAAUAUAUAGGAUAUUUACUAUAAUAUAUUAUACUAUUAACACAUAAGUUAUAUCAUUUAAAAUAUAUAACAUGUAUUUCAUAAUAAUACAGAUUUAUAAAUAAAUAAAUAUGUAGAAUUAAUAUUAAAUUGCUAUGAUUAGGAUUUGUAUACGUACAUAUAAUAAACUAAUAUAUUUUAAGUAUAUUAUUAAUUAAGUUUACUAUCAAUUCUUCUUAAUAUAUGUAAAAAUAUUAUAUAUGUUAAUAUAUAAAAAAUAUAUAAAAAUUAGUUUAUUUUUUGGGUGGAUUGGUUUAAAAAUUUUAAAACCGAAAACCGACAAAAAAACCAAUUGAAUCAAACAUUUUGAAUCAAUUAGACCGAAUCAUUUUAUUCAAAUUGUAUUUGGUUUAGAUAGAUAAUUGAUCUGGUUUGGUUUUUCUUAUAUCUACACAUACCUAUAUAUGACAUGAGUAAAAUUUUUGAGAAAAACUCUAAAAAAAUAAAAAAUUCGCGGGAGACUCCUCCAUCAUUUGGGCUUUGGCUUCUUUAAAAUUAAAUUUUAAUUUAAUUUUAGUUAAAAAGUAAAAUAGCCAAAUAACCUAUAAUUGACUGUUCUACAAUAACAAUAAAAUUAAUAGAAUAUUAAUAUUUACAAAUCUAAGGAUGUACAUUGGCCGAAGUUAAAUUUACUUAGAAGUCCUCAUUAAUUUAGAAUUAAUCUAGAACCACGAGUACCAUAAUAAACCUAGGGGUUUAUUAUUAUGACAAGCAUCCAAUCUUAAAACAAAUGGACAAGUGAGGAGGGGUAACUUUUCUUGGAUAUAAUUAAAAAAAAAUUAACAAAUAUGAGAUAACACCGCUUAAUUGGUUCAAUUACUAUUUGAUAAAAAUAGUGAGGGAACGAUCAAAUGCAGAAGCUAUGCAAGCAAAGCAAUUCUUAAUUAAAACUCUGAACGACUUAAGAUCACAGAUGAUCAAUUUGACAGAUUUCAACUUUUUAUUGCAAUGAUCAAGCAGGGCUUAUUUGGGUAGCAUAAGACACGCCUUACUUACUGAUGACCAUAUGGAUAAUUAGUUUAUGGAGAAUCAUGGAAAUGUGAAGCCGUUCACGGAUGGGUAAUAGUAAUAGGGAAGCUGCGGAGCACCACUGUCUCCAGUGUAAUACCAGACCCAAAACCAAUUAAAAGCCCCCAUUCUAGACCUUCACCUGUUGUGGCUUUUCCUUUCUCCAAGGACUUCUUUCUCAUCUCAUCCAAGAUAAAUAACACGCACGCAACACUCAUGUUCCCAAAUUCGCUUAGCACAUGCCGAGUUGCUAGGAGUUUUUCCUUUUUCAGCCCAAGUUUGAUUUCGAUCUGGUCGAGAAUUGCACUCCCUCCUGGAUGAACUAUCCAGAAGAACGAGUUCCAAUCAUUAAUGCUAAUCGGGCUUAAUGCUUCCGACAAGCAGCUCUCAAGGUUAUUGGCUAUUAGUUUUGGAACAUCCUUUGACAAUUGAAUACUGUACCCUGCUUCACGUACAUGUCCUUCGAUUGCACCACCUGAGCCAGGGAUGAUGUUCUGUGCUGUCGAAACGAUUUGGAACAAUGGUCUUUCGUUUAAGACAUCAGGAUCAGCACCAACGAUCAUUGCCGCCGCGCCAUCACCCACGAUUGCUUGACCUAUAAGCGAAGCUAUGUCAUGUUCAUUGGGUCCAUGAAAUGCACCGAUUGAGAUCUCAGUGCUGACAACAAGAAUGCGUGCUCCAGCAUUGUUUUCAGCGAUGUCCUUGGCCAUCCGAAGGAUGGUACCGCUCGCAUAGCAGGGUUGAAAAUUCAACAUGAUUCUCUUGACGGAUGAUGGUAGGCCAAGCAGCUUCGUAAGAUGGUAAUCUGCUCCAGGCAUGUCCAUACCUGAAAGUGAGGAGAAUAUGAGGUGCGUGAUUUGAGAUUUUGGUUGCCCCCACUCUUGGAUUGCUUUUGAUGCUGCUUCCAUGGCAAGCUUUGGAACUUGAGCGAAAGCAAUUUCUCGACGUGCGUCGAGAGAUGGGUCGUCGUAGGUGCUGAUGCUGGCGUUCUUCUUAAGAAUUUCUUCAGUAAGGACAAAGUGACGUUUCCUUAUCAUUGACUUCUCACCUGUUGGACCGCUUACAAUAACCAUCAAACCGUUACAACUAAUUAAAUCUGACGAACUAGGAGAACUCAGAUAUGUAUAUAUGUCGAUGAUAAAUUUGUACUAAGAAACCAGGAAAAGACAAAUUGACUAUAUAAUUGUCUCUUCUUUAACACUAAUUACUCAAAAUGGUUAGACUUCUUAGACCAUGAGAUAGAUGAAUAUAUAUAUGAGCCAUUAUUUUCCAUGCUAUGUAUCAUCUAUGAUUACAUAUUAGUAAGCAGUACACUUACAUAUUUGCUUGAAUUUCCCUUUCAAUUGUGUCAUGUGCUCACUUUUGGUAACUCUAAAAUAGUAAUCGGGGUAAUCAAUCUGAGAAAUACAAAACACCGGAUUUGCCGUGCCAAUGGAAAGGAUUGUUGCUGCACUCUGAGCUUGCUUUUGUCUUCCGAAAUUCUCUGGUAAAGCCAUUGCUGUCAACCUGGUUCCUAUAUAAGAACUAUAACCUGGAAAGUGAUGAAUAAAGAAAUAGUGUACGGCUGAUUUAUAUACCAAGUCUAUAGCUGCAGAAGAUGUGGAUUUCCUUGUAAGCUAGGCUAUCAACUUCAUCUGUAGGUCUAAAAAAGGAAACAGUGGGGAAACAAAGAGUUGAGCAUUCAUUUUUACAUUAAUUAGUUAUGAUCUCAGAUGCUUAAUUUGUCUCAUUACCGGCUACACACCUACAAAGACUGGAGGAAGGAACUUUGCCAAAUGGUUACUUCUUCUUUCUUCAGUUAAUGAUUAUUAGCUGUUUCUCUCCUCAUCGAUCUUAGUCCAAAGGAUUUUUUUUCCUGCAUAUCUCUAAAUAGUAUAAAAAUGAUAGAAAAAGUUGGUGAAACUAGCAAAAUAUAGAGACACGUAUUUAAUUAGAAUCAUAUUUAGUUGUUGGGAGUUGAUUAGUUUCAUGCAAAAGGUUGCUGAGUUUCUCAUUUCAGCAACACGUUUUAGUAUCAUAGUCGAUCUUCGUCAUACACCCGAUGAUCUCAUCGUUACGCAAAUUGACUGACAGAAGUUGAAAGGCAGCCUACCAAAUCCCACCAUUUCAACCCAAAACAUCCAACUACAAAAACAAUUGAUUAAUAGAUGAUUACAACUCUCAUUCACAGAUUAAUGGCACCAAGCACCAAGGACGUAGUCUAAGCUCCUUGGAAAUUGAUUCAAUUAGUUCAACAUCCACAGCUCCAAGGUUUUUAUCAAAUUUGCAACUUCAUCUUAUCUAUAAUCAAACACAAGUAAGAAGUACAGAAAUCUAAAAAGUUAAACAAAAAGAAUUUACCAUGUGUAACGUAAUUAAAAUUGUGGGGAUCCCCUCUGUUAAAUGUUAACUUUAGCCCAUCGGAAAUAAUUUCAUCAAUUUCAGUCCUGUAUACUAUACUUUAAUAAAUAAUGUAAUUAAAGAAAAUUAAUAACUUCAUUAAUAGUUUCGUCAAAAAAAAAUUUCACCAGCCGUCAAGUAUGUUGACAUAGUACCUAAAAGUCACUUUCAAGUUUAAAAAAAAAAUUAAAUUGAUCGUUUAUGGCCUCAUAGCAAGUAGGUUCAAAAUCCUUUUCUUCUAUUUUUUUUUUUUUUUUUUUAGAAAAUGAAAAAGCUAAUGGACAUUUUGGUAUUAAAAGGUUGCCAGGAUCCAAGUUAAUGUAAUUUUAUUCCAAGAUACUAAACCUAAGCUCUUAUUCAAAACCCCAGGGUGGCAUAGGAAUUUUCUUUUUGGUCGUAAAAUCAAAUUUUGAUAUUCCAAAUCUAGAGGCUGUAAGUAUAUAUAAAAAAAUAUAUUUUAGUAGCUAGAAUUUGAAAUUUUAACUUGGAGGUUUUAAAGUUACAUAUUCGUUUUCUAAAAUGAAAUAACUAGAAUUUAUGGGGUGGUGAGAGAGACCUGUCAUUAUCUAAAUCUGAAUCAUAUGUUUUUUAAAAAAGAUAUGAAAUUAAUUGAAAAGAAAGGAAUGUAAACUUCCCUGAUAAUUCUGUUUCUUCCCAAACAAAAUGAUACAAAUUACAAAUGAUUGCUGACUAAUUGGAAAAUAUUCAGUCCCAUUUUCGUUUUCAUCGCUGCUUUUAAUACUUUUAUUUAUUUUUUACUUUCGAAAAUGAAAGGUAGAUAGUGCAUUUGUUUAUAAAUGCAAAUAAUAAUUUUUUGAAUGAUUAAAAUUAUAAUUAUACUAAUAAUUUAUAAGAGCAUAAUCCAUGCUUCUACUUUAUUAUAUACAGAACAAUAUAGAUUUAUUGCUGCAUUUUAGUCAUUUAUUUAUUUUUAAUUAAUUAUGCUUGUGUUUUUUGUUUUUUUAAAAAAUAAAUAUAAAUAGCCAAAACCAAGUAUCAAAACUAACAACCAAAUAAAAUUUUAAUUUAGUAUUUUUUUUAGCGUUUAGCACUUUUGGCUUGUGCUGCUUGUGAAUCAAAUCAAUUAAAUUAAUGUGUUAUUUUCAGUUCAUCCAUCCAUGAGAACCAAUAAGAUUUUUCGAGGUUUAUCUGAAGGCUUUCUAUCAACUAUAUCAUUGGUGAAAAGAUGGCAAGAGAUUGGAAAGAAUAUUUUAUUUUAUGUAUAAUUUGGAUAGCAACUAAGCUAAUAUAGAUGUUAAUAGCAAGGUAAAGCAUAGGAUUAAUUGUCUUUUUUUUUCUAAUGUAUACACUCAAUUAUAACCAUUAACAAUUUCUCAUGUAUAAGAAAAAUGUUAUUUAACAUACACUGUAAUAAUUCACUGGGUUAGAGACAUUCAUGAAUUCUGAGAUUGCAUUUAUGAAUUUGUCUUUAAAUUUACGAAUUUACUAGAAAUACAAGAAAUACAGAGACGGAGCAGUCCAAAUAUCUAUAGGCCUACUCCAAGGGCGCCGAAUUUAAAGGCCUACCAUCCCAAAAAAAUGCCAUUUUAACUUAAAAAUUGGCAACUAAAUGAACCACUGAGAGGAUGGAAAUUAAUGCCAUUGAUGCUGAAAUUGCAAAGUAUCCUAGAGGCCAAUGUUUCAUAUGACCACAAGGUAGAGAGGAUGUCGUUCAUGUGUAUGCGGAGACAUCCACACGAGAAAUUCCAAACAGCAACUCUUUCAUGAACUCUCACUACAAAAAUCCUUGUAUUUUCAACGGAUUUGCAGCGAAUUUCUAACGGAGUAUAGUUAAAAUUUUUAAUUGCUUGUUCCGACGGAUUUUCAACGGAUUUCCAACAGACUUAUACUGAAAAUUUUUCAACGGAAUUUUCCGUUGAAAAUUUGACUUGUACAAUAUUUUCAACGGAUUUUCAACGAAAAUUUUUAUUAGAAAUCUGUCGGAACUGUAAACUAAAAAAAAAAUUGUGUAAUAUUUACAGUUUCCAACGGAAUUUUCCGUUGAAAAUUUCCAACAGAAAAUUCCGUUGGAAAAUAAAACUUUAAAAAAAAUUUUACAAUCUUUUUACAGUUUCCAACAGAUUUCCAACGGAAAAUUCCGUUGAAAUUUCCAAUGGAACAUAAAACUUUAAAAAAAAUUUUACAAUCUUUUUACAGUUUCCAACGGAAAUUUUCGUUGGAAAUCCGUUGGAACAUAUAAAGAGUCGAUGAUAUAUUAAAAAUAUAACUUUCCAACGGAAUUUUCGUUGAAAAAUUCUGUUGGAAAUAGCCUUUUUAGUGCAUAAAAGUGUUAAUGAUAAUUGUAACUUCCAACGGAAUUUUCCAUUGGAAAAUUCCGCUGGAAAUAAUAAUAAUGUUAAAAAAUUAUAUAAUUAACAUUUUUUAAAAAUUAAAAUUUUUUUUUCAGAAAAAUUUAGAUAUCUCUUUAAGCAAAUACAUAGUUAUUGAAGUAAAAUUUUGGGCUCUGUUUAAAUAUGUUUUCCUUUGAGUAAUUUUGUAUAAUUUUUUUAACUUGAAUGAAUCAUACAAUAUUGAUUAAUACAACCAAAUUAGGGUAAUGUUAUAUUAUUCCAAAAUUGAAAAAAAUUUCUAUGUAAAAUUUUAUAUUUUAUAAAAAACCAUGAUAAGAUAUAAAAAUCAUAUUAAAAAGUAUAUAUUACUUUAUUUACGUUUUAAUUGUAAUUAGCUAAUAUAUGUAAAUUAAGAUUGAAGUUUUAUAAUAAACUUAUUAAUAUUUGUGCUUAAAAAAUAUCAUUUUAUUAUAUCUAUGUACUCAUGCAAUUCUGACCGAGAGCUAUAGAAAUUAGUCUUGAUGUAUAUAUAUAUAUAAACAAUUAUGAUUUAAGAAAAAAAUCGAUAAAUAAUAUGAGAUAUAUUAAAUAAGGGUCUACAUAUAUAUAUGUGAGGAUAUAAUUUAUGUAAGGUUAUAGUAAAUUGAAGUUUAGAUGAUUAAUGUAAUAGGAUCCAAAUCGCACAUAUAUAUAUAUACACACACUUUAUAGUUACUAUAACUUGUAAUGUCUUUUAACACAUACACUUUCUAUUAUAUAUUAUGUUACUAUAACUUGUAAUUACUAUUAUAUAAAUGAGUUACUAAAUAAUAUAUAUACCUUUGUUUAUAUAAAUUUACAAUAUAUGAAGUUAACUAUCUAAAAAGAAGUUGUGAGAUUAAAAUAGUUUUGAAACUGAACUAUUUUUUUAAAAUUUCAUGUAACUAAGAGCAAAUUCAUAUAAUUAAUAAAAUUAUAAUUAUUAAUUAAAUUGUAAGAUCUUUUAAUAUCUAUACUUUAUAUACAUUAGGUUAAUUUAAAAAGAAUAUAAUUACGGCUUUUGUAUAUACACUAUAAUACUUAUAAUACAUAUACUUUAUAAUAUAAAACUUAUAAUGUCUUUUAACACAUACAUUUUAUAUUAUAUAUUAUGUUUUUUUGCAAAAAAUAUAAUUACUAUUGUAUUAUAAAGUAAUUACUAAAUAAUAUAUAUACUUUUGUUUAUAUAAAUUUUUAAUAUAUAAACUUAAUAAUUUAAAAAGAAGUUGUGAGAUUAGAAUAGUUUUUUUACUUAGCAAUUUUUUUAAAUUUCAAGUAAGUAAGGACAAAUUAAUUCAUAUAAUCAAUAAAUUUAUGAUUACUAAUUAAAUUAUAAGGUCUUUUGAUAAGUAUGUUUUAUAUAAAUUCGAUUUAUUUAAAAAAACAUAAUUACUAUUUUUUAGAUACACUAUAAACAUUUUAAUAUAUAUUUAUUUUUUAUUUGAUAUUAAUAUUAUGAAAAUGAUAAUUUUAAUACUUAUAAAAUUUAUAUAGCAAAAUGUGUUUUUAGCACAUUAAUCCAAAUGUUAAAUAUUUAUGUAAUAGUCUUUUAUGUUAAAAUAAUUAAAAAAGGAAUAAAAAUUAAAAACCCAUCCCAGCCCCUCGACCCCUCUGUUUCCUUUUUUUCUUCUCUUCUACUCGGGUGCCACUCCUUCCCUCCUUCCGCCAACUCCUUCACCGGUUGUUCUUCCCCGACCCGCAGCUCUCUCUCUCAAGGCCUUCCUUUUUCAACCGACGACACAAGGCCGAAGCCUCAACUAUCUCUAAAACCGACGGCACAGGAACCCAGAUCUGGUAGGCUCUCGCUUCUUCCUUUUCCAACCGGCAACACAAGCCCGAAGCCCCAGCUCUCUCUAGAAUCAGUGGCACAGCAACCCAGAUCUUGUCUCUCUCACUUCUUCCUUUUCCAAUCGGUGACACAAGGUCGAAUCGCCCUAGCUCUCUCUAGAACUAGCAGCACAGCAACCCAGAUAUUCUCUCUCUCGCUUCUUCCUUUUGCCGGCGGCAAGCCUGAUGCCCCAACACUCUCUCUAAAAUCGACGGCACAAACCCCAAACUCUCUAAACUCCCACCGACGGUUGGCAUCCCUUCACUCAAAGCUCUAUUUCUCUAUGUAUAUAUUUUUUCAUAUUCAGAUUUUUUUUGGUAUUGUUUGGUAUUAUUUGGUUUGUGGAUUGAGGUUUCUGGCUGCUAGACUAGGGAAUUGAUUUUGGCUUUGUGUGUUUUUGGGUUGCUAGGGAUUCUUAGGAAUUUUUACAAUUGAGUUUUUGGCCCCCGGAUCCCUUGUGCUACACUUGUGAAUUUUGAUGGGUUGUGGUCUCUGCGAGGCUUCGUUCCACUACUCUGCCAGACGCGAAUUUUGUGCGUUUGGCAUUGUAGUGGUGAUAUUGGUACUGGCAGGGCGUCCGCGCCCUGACAGUAUUUUUUUUUAUUUUUUUUAUUAGUUAAGUAUUAUUGUUAUUAAUUUUUUUAACAUAAAAAAUAUGGUCUUUACAGCUAGCUGCCGGCCUACCACACCAAGCUCGGGUCUUUCAUCAAUUGAUCUGCCUUUUCUCUCUAACAGCCCAGCCACAACUAAGGUCUGCCGACUGCGUGGGUGUCUCCUCAAGCUCCACGCCUUUGUUCUUCCCUAGUUACCGGCCUACCACGCCACGCUCGACUCCUUCAUCGGUUUAUCUGAAUUUUCUCCCCAGUCGCCCAGCCACAGCCAUUCCCUGCUGGCUGCCUCUGUGUCGCCCCAAGCCCCACGCCAUUGUUAUUCCCCAACUGAGAUUUUGGUAUAGGAUUUUGUUAAACUAGGUUCAUUCUUAAUAAUUGUUAUGCAAAUAAGAUUUGAUGUUUCAACCAUGGUUGUAUGUUUCUGAAAAUUGAUACCCUAAGAAUUAAUUUUACAUGCCAAUGUCGAUGUUGUCCUUAGUUUACGAGAGAGUUUUUCAUUACCCCAGAUUGCAAUUAGUACUUUUAGACUUGUGAAUUUGGUGAUAAUGUUGUUGUCUGGUUCCCCAUAUAUCUAUUUUUAGUUAUUUAAUUUUAAGUUUAAAAUAUUUGUUUUUGAUUAUUUAAAUUUUAAUUUAAAUUUUUUGGUGGAAGAAAAAUUAAUGUGUAGUUAAUUUAAUGAAAUACGUAGAUAAAUAUUAUUGUUUAUGUAUACAGAUUCGGGUAUACAUUGAGAAAUUGUAUAAAGAAAAGUUUAAUAAUUUUUUAAUAUAAUCAGAUUUUUAAACGAGUUAGAGUAAUUAUAAGGUAGUAAAAAUGUAAUAGGGUUAGGGUAUUAAUUUUAAAAUUAUUUGGGUAGUUAAUAGGGUUAGGGUAGUUGAGUUUUUACAAGGUUAGGGUUCGGGUUUAGGAAAAUUAUAAGGUACAUGAGCCGUUGACAUUCCUAGCCUUAGGGGUUAAUUUUCUAUAUCUUGUUUAUUUGAUGUUUAUCAAGAUUUGUUUAUCAAUUGAUGCGUCCUAUGUAUUUUUAAUGAUGUUAUUGUGUUUUAAUUAUUUGAUUUACAGUUACAAGCCUAAACGUUUCAUUGCUUUAACUUCAGUCAAAGGCUAAGGUCUGGAAGCAUCAAACCUGUGUUUGGUCUGCUUCAAAACGAGAUUGGGUUUUGGUCUAAUUUCUGAGGUGAGUAAGAUAAACACACAAGCAAUUAAAUGUUGGUAUUUGAGAACUGACCACCCCUGUUAAACUUCAAUUUUAUAUAUAAAUGAUACUAGCCUUUCCAACGGAUAAUAGCACAUAUAUUUUGACCCGUCCACAAUACUCAUGUUGUUCAAUCUGAUGCUAUCCUAAUAAAUAUAAACUAUUUUCCUAGGUUUAACGGAUAAUUCAUGUAUGUAAUAAUUUAUACUAUAAAGGAUACUUUGCAAAAUAUAUGUAAUUUUGAAUAUAUACACAUAUAUAUAAAUAUAAUACAUAUUGGAAUGUAGAGUUUAACAAAUUGUUUUGUUUUCAUCAAUACAAAUUAGUCUUAAUAAUGAUAUUCUAUGAUACUUAGGAUUAUAAAAUGUCAGGAGAUCGCUCCUGGAUGUACUGUCGAUUACAGAAUGGAUUCAUUACAGAUGAAUUUAUAAAUGGAGUUACUGAAUUUAUUAAUUUCGCAUGUUCGAAGACUACAUUUAUGUGGAAGAAUAAAAUUAGAUGCCCUUGCACACGAUGUAGUAACAAUAAGUUCUUAGAUAAAGAUAAAGUCACAGAACACAUCCUAAACUGUGGUUUUACUAGGGCUUACACAAUUUGGAGUUUACAUGGGGAAGAUCAUGUUGGACAAUCAUCAAGAAGUAGAUCUAGAGUUGAACCAUCCUUUAGAUUUGAGGGAGAUGCUGCUUUUCGAGAACCUACAUAUGAAGAUGAAAUAGAAAAUCCAUAUACUAGAAUGGUUAGGGAUGCUAUGCGUCUCGAAGUUGCUUUCAACCAUGGUUCUGAAAAUGACUCUAGCUUUGUGGAAGAAGAUCCCAAUCCAAAUGUGUCUUCCUUUUACUCUUUGUUAAGCAAUGCAGAGGAACCUUUGUGGGUAGGUUGCACAAAGCACACAACGCUUUCAGCUGUGUCGCAACUUUUAAAUGUUAAGGCUGAGUACAAUUUGAGUGAAUCAUGUUUUGAUCGACUGUUGGAGAUAAUAAAGAAUAUGUUGCCGUCUGAUGAGAAUUUACCUAUCGACUUUUAUAGGAUGAAGAAGAAGGUAGCAAAGCUUGGUUUGGGAUAUAUCAAAAUUGAUGCGUGUAAGAACAAUUGCAUGUUAUUUUAUGAGCGAUUCGCUACAUUUGAGCAUUGUCAGGUAGGUUGACAUCCUCGAUAUAAAUAAAGGAAUUCAAGUGUGAGAAGGCAUAAGAAAAUUCCUUACAAGAUUUUGCGUUACUUGCCACUUAUACCGAGGCUUCAAAGGCUUUAUAUGUCAUGUAAAACUGCUGAACAUAUGACGUGGCAUGCGCAACACCACAGUGAUGAUGGACUCCUUAGACACCCUGUUGAUGGUGAGGCUUGGCAACACUUCAACUGCACACAUGAAUUCUUUGCAAUGGAACCUUGAAAUGUAAGACUCGGGUUAUGUGCUGACAGUUUCAACCCUUUUGGAUCGAUUGCCAAGCCUUAUUCUGUUUGGCCGGUAAUGCUUUGUGUGUAUAAUUUACCCCCAUGGAUGUGUAUGAAACAACAAUAUAUAUUUCUUAACAUGGUUAUCCCGGGUAAGAAAAGUCCAAGUCAAAAUAUAGAUGUUUUCUUGAGGCCUUUGAUUGAUGAGUUGACUUUAUUGUGGAGAGAAGGUAUUGUGACCUAUGAUGCAUAUAGGAAACAAAAUUUUCAUAUGCGGGCAGCAUUAUUGUGGACAAUUAAUAAUUUUCUUGCUUAUGGUAUGUUGUUAGGGUGGAGUACACAUGGACGAUUAUCAUGUCCAUAUUGCAUGGAACAUUCUAAAUCUUUCAUAUUGGAACAUGGUAGGAAACCUUGUUUCUUUGAUUGUCAUUGGCAAUUUUUGCCAGCUAAUCAUCCUUUUAGGAGGCAGAGAGACAAAUUUAUUAAAAAAAGAGUUGAACAUGACUUACCAUUUCCUCGAUUAUCAGGCGCAGAAAUAUUGACACGUUUGAAUGAGCUUCCUCAUCUCCCAUUCGGAACAAAAUGUGGUGAGCGAAAGAGUUUAGGAUAUGGUAUUUGUCAUAAUUGGGUGAAGAAGAGUAUAUUUUGGUCUCUACCUUAUUGACAUACGCUUCUUAUUCGUCACAAUUUAGAUGUUAUGCAUAUUGAACAUAAUUUUUUUGAGAAUAUACUUAACACAGUGAUGGAUGUUAAAGGAAGGACAAAGGACAAAAUAAAGGCACAACAAGAUUUAAAAGUGUAUUGCAAGCGGCCAAAAUUGGAAUUGGUGGAAAAUAAUGGAAAACUGUACAAGCCCAAGGCUGCUUACACAUUAAAUAAGGAGGAAAUAACAAAUGUUUGUGCUUGGGUUAAACAAUUGAGAUUACCAUAUGGUUUUGCGUCGAACAUUUCUCGGUGUGUUAAUGAGAUUGAUGAAAAAUUUUAUGGGAUGAAAAGUCAUGAUUGUCAUGUUUUUAUGCAACGAUUGCUCCCAAUUGUAUUCCGUGAAAUGCUACCUCAAACAAUUUGGGAUUCAAUUACUGAGAUAUCUCAAUUUUUUAGGGAUUUGUGUGCAACUGAAAUACCUAUUGAUCAUAUGGAAACGUUGCAAGGAAAAAUAUGUGAAACUAUAUGCAAACUAGAGAGCAUAUUUCCUCCGGGUUUUUUUGACUCGAUGGAGCAUUUGUCGAUUCAUUUACCUUAUGAGGCCAAGGUUGGUGGACCUGUCCAAUAUCGAUGGAUGUAUCCAUUUGAGAGGUAAAAUAAUUGUUAUUUGUUUUCAUAUAUUUAUUUUGAAGAGUUAAAAGUACAUCAUAAGAUUGAUGAAUAUUGUGGUUGUUAGGUUUUUGCAACAGUUGAAGAAGAAAGUAAAAAAUUGUGCCUCUGUUGAAGGAUCUAUAUGUGAGGCUUAUGUUAUCGAGGAAGUUUCCUCAUUCUGCUCAUGGUAUUUUGAACUUGCUGUGUGAACAAGAGUAAAUCGAGUGCCACGUAGUGAUGAUGGGGGAGAGGUGGACUCUAUGGGUCGUCUUUCAAUUUUCACUCACCUAGGGCGAGCUUUUGGUUCAUGUGAUAAAUCUCGAUUUUUAGAUGAGGAUGAGUUUUAUGCUGCUGAGUUAUAUGUUUUAAUGAAUUGUGAAGAGAUGCUGCCAUAUAUAAAGUAAGUACUAUUACUUUUUUAACUUGUUAAUACCCUAUAAUAAGAUUGAAGUUAAUCACGUAGUUGUGGAUAUUAUGAUAGGAUAUUUGAUGAAAUUGUGAAGGGAGAUGUUGUGGAAAUUUCGGAAGAGGAAUUGGAGAAAGUACGUGAUGCGAGAUUCAUUAAAUGGUUUAAAAAUUAUGUAAGUUUCCUUAACAUAGAAGUGAACUUUUAAUUAAUCCAUUUCUUUUUUAUUAUGUAAUUUAUUAUUUUAUUCUCUUGUAAAUUAUCCUUGUAGGUUGCAAAGCAUAAUGAGGAAAUAGACCAACAUUUAAUUGAAAUCUCUUAUGGUCCCGGACGUACGAUAAGGUGUUACAGUGGAUAUUUUAUAAAUGGUUUUAAGUUUCACACCUUAGAUUACGGCUAAAAUCGUAAGACAAUGAAUAGUGGGGUUUGCAUAAAAGGAAGUUUUUACAAUGAUUAUGAGCGUGACUUUUAUGGCAUCUUAGUGGAUAUAAUCGAGUUGGAGUAUUUUGGUAUAGGGAAUAGAGUUGUUCUAUUCAAGUGUCAUUGGUUUGAUACUGAAAAAGGAAUAAAGGUAGAUCGAUUGCAUGGUCUUGUUGACGUCAAUUACAACUUAAUACUGGCCAGUAAUGAACCAUUUGUUUUAGCUGCCCAAGCUCACCAAGUUUAUUAUAGUAGUUAUCCAUCAAGAAUAAGAGAUCGACGUGAUUGGUGGGUAGUAUUUAAAACAAAAGCUAGGAGUAGAUUUCAAAUUCCUAUUAGUGGUGAUAGAGAAAAUCAAAGUGAUUUGAAUGAAGGAGUAUACCAAGAAGAUGUGUCCAAUUCAAUUACUAGUACUCAAUCAAAGGAAGUUGAUUUAACAGAGUUAGCGAGUGGUGAUUUUGAAGAGGUUAAUCUAUCGAUUGAGGAUGAAGAAGAUGAUAUCGAUAAAGAUGAAGAUGAAGAAGAUGACAUGGAAGGAGAAGAUAAUGAAGAUGAUGAUGAAGAUGAAGAUGAAGAUGAAUACGAAGAUGAAGAUGAAAAUGAAAAUGAAGAUCAUGUGGAGCACGACGAUUGUGAAACUUAUAAUGAUGAUAGUGAUAAUAAUGCAGAACAUGAGUUUGAUUAAUAAGGAAGUGAAUGAUGAUUGUAUCCACAUAGGAUAUUGGUUUAAUAUUUUAUUUUUACGGUAUUGUUGAACUUAAAUUUUAUAAUAUUAAAGUACUUUGACAUGAUGUAAAAUUAGAACGUUUGAGUUAAAAUCAAGAUUUAAAUGUUGAAAUUAGUUAAUAUAUAAUUGCUGCUUUGCUUCUAAAUUUUAAGAAUUAUAUGUGUCAUUGUUGUGAAUUGAUGUUUUUUAUUCUGUUAUAAUAAUAAUCAUAUUAAUAAUAAUUGCUAAUGGGAUUUUAACAAUACGUUGGAAAUUGCAAGAACGAUGGUUAAAGGGAAGCAAUCAAAAUUGAGACUUAGGUCUUCAUAUGCGAAGGGGAGUAUGGUUGUGCUUACAAGUUCCCAAGCGUGUGAUGAUAUAUCCAUUCCACAACAGGUGCAGCAGUAGAAUACUGAUGCGCCAUUUGAGACACAGUCUUUGUACGAUGCAUUUGCAGAGCAAGUAAAAAAUGAGACAUCUACACAUGAUAUUACAAGAUCCCCAUCUAUUGAUCUUAGUGGAAAUACAAAUGAGAAAUCGUUAAGAUCAAGAGGUAGAGGACCCAGUGUAGGACUACAGACUCCUGUAGAUCCAUCGGACAGACUGCGUAUAACUUCUAUUGGGGAUAGGUAUGUUAUCUUGUUAAACUUGUUAUAUUUUUCAACUCAAUUUAUAAUUUUUUUUAAUUUUAAUAUAUACAAUUAUUUGAAAUAUUUUACAAGCACUUUUUUCGAGAGAGGGGUCACAUCUACAAUAACAAGGAUCAUCAAAAAUCACUUUCAUAGUCCACGGUCGACAUGGAGGAAAGUCCUUAAUGAUAUGAAAAAGUUAAUGUUUAAAAAAUUUCAGGUAUUAUGUUUGUUAUUUAUUUAUUAAGCGUACACUUUUCCAUUAAUUUGUAUAACUUUGUUAAUUAUUGUAUUACAUUAUAUUGUAGGAAAAGUGUGUUUGGUCUGCAAAUAAAGAUGUUAUAGUUCGACGCAUAUGGGAAAAAAUUUGUUCCGAUCGAUUAAGAGACAUGCUUUCAGAAGAAAGGCAUAGAGUAAUGAUUAAAGCUAAAACUAACAACAUUAUAGAAUGCAGAGGCAUGUCGAGGGAAUGGAUCACAAAUGAAAUAUGGGACACCUUGAUCAAUACAGUAUGGGGUACAAAAGAGUGGCAAAACAAAUCGUGAAAAGCAAGGCAAAAUCGUUUAAUGCCAAAAGAAGAAAGCAUUCCAAAGCACACUGGCGGUUCAAUUCCAUUUGUGGUUCAUGCAAAAAGGAUGGUAUGAAUUAAUGUUACUUAGAAUUAAUGUUACUCAGAAUUAAUAUGUAUGUUUUCCCAUGAAUUUCAUUUAAAUUGUUUACAUAUAUAUUGGAUUUCGGUUUUGCUAUACAUGUUAUAGAUAUGUAGAAUAAUAUAUAUAUAUAUGUAUAUAUAUAUAUAUAUAUAUAUAUAUAUAUAUAUAUAUCGAUUAUGAUUGACUAAAUACAAUUGUUAAUAAAUUCAGGCAAUUGAGCUGAAAUGAGAUGUUACCUUCUUGGAAGUUUUCAACCGUACUCAUAAACGCUUAGGGGGUCAUGGUGAUUUUAUUGAUAACAAGUCCAAGUCUACGAGUGUAAGUAAAAAUUCAUUAAUUUUGACUAUUUCUUCUAAGUUGAUGUUCUACUUCAAUAUUAAUCAUUAAUGAUGGUUUUUAUGUAGGAAAUGUAUAAUUCUGUACUAUCGCAGAAGUAUGGCGAUGAGUCAUCUUCUCAGCCAGAAUUCGAUGCACAUGCUUGGACUGAAGCAAUUGGAGGGAAGGAGACUACACGCACUCAUGUGUAUGGGUUUGGCACUCGUGUCCCUACGACAGCUUUACUAACUGGAACACAAUCCAAUAUAGCAACAUCUGAGUCUACGUGUGGCCCUCUCAACUUAAACUUUAACAGUCUCGCAAAUGCAUUGGAAAAAAAAGUGAAAAAUCUUGCACAAAAUUUGAAUAAGAUACGUGAGCAAAUACGUGAGAAAAUACGUGAAGAAAUGAGAAAUGUGAUGGCAGAAGGCAUGAGUGAAUUUAUGGCACGUAUGGAAACCAUGUUCAUGAGUAAUGCGCGUUCAACCCUUGGCGAUGCGGGACCUUCAAAACUUGACAAGUAAGAAAAAAAAUUCCCUUACAUGAUGUAUAAUUUUUAGAGCAAACACUGGAUAAAUUUUAAGGAUGUUAUGUUUAAUAUUCAUAUGUAUCAAACUAUAUUAUAUAUUGUGUGUUAAGGAUAAUUUAUAAUUAGAUGUUAGGACUUGAAUCUCAAUUUUGUAAUGUGUUUUUAUUUAAUAUAUUUUAAAGUUGAAUGCAGAGUUAAAUUUAGUAUCGGAAACAAAAAUGGUAAUUUUUUCAGAAAAUUUAUUAUAAAAAUAAUAGGUCAAACUAUUACCAACGAAAAAUUCCGUUGGAAAGCAUAUUUCCAACGAAAAUUUCAGUUGGAAAUGCCAACCGAAUUUUUCGUUGGAAAUCCUUCUUUCCAACGGAAUUUUCAUUGGAAAUCUGUUGGAAAUUUCCAUCGGAUUUCUUAAAAAAAUGGCAAAAAUUCAAAUUUUCAACGGAUUUCCAACGGAAACUAUAAUCCACAAGACUUAUACCGACGGAAUUUCCAACGGAAAAAGGCCUAUUUCCAACAAAAAUUUUCGUUGGAAAUAGCCAAAUUUUUUGUAGUGUCUUUGAUCAGUUGUUAGGAUUUGGCAACUCUAAACAGUAGCUUCCUAAUGGUUUUUCUUUUUAUAACAUAACAGAUCGGUCACAAUAUGUCAAACAAGUGGUUCUAAUUUAACUAACUUGAGUUUCAGAGGUGAUUCACUACGAGAGGUAUAAAUAGCUUUCGAGAAGAGAAAAUUGUGAGAAAUAACCUUCCUCAUAAGCUCAAUUAAAAAAUAUCAUUUUUUUAUAAUUUUAAUUAUUUUUAGUCAAUUUUUGGCAUGACUUGACAACAAUACCCUUUAAACAAUUUAAGACAAGUUAAAAUGGUUUCAGUUUUCUCUAUCCCGCCAUCCAGACAAAAAUUUAAAAUUAAAUCUUGAUUUCUCUCUCUGAUCAAAUAAUGUCUAUCUCACCAUUCGGAGAUGACAUCUAGUUCUUUCUUAUUUUGUUUUAUUUUUUUAGAUAGUGGAUCUUGGGGUUCUCAAGGACGAUGAACAACAAUUUUACUAUUCUAUGAUGAUUGCAGGCAGCAUGAUGAAUUUGGUAAUUGGAUGCUUUAUGGUGAUGACUUGUUUCGAAACAUGUGCUGCGAUGGAGAUGCUUGUGUUGAUGAGUUGGAUCAGAUUGGUUAAGAUGAUGGGUUCAGGGAAAAGAAAUAGCUGAAGUAUGUUUGAUGGGUUUUAUAGUGGUUCACGGUUUUGUUGUGUCUGGAAUUGGGAUGAUUGUUAAGCAUGUUUGCUAGGAAUUUUAAUUUUUUUUAUGGGAUUUUGAAUUGAAAUUGUUCAAGAAAUAUUUUGUAAAAGGAGUAUAUUUUGUUUUUGCAUAAGGGGAGUGAGCAAGGCCCUCCCGAUAGGGAUUUAUUUUGUCUUGCUUUUAAGGGUUAUAGAGUUUUGUAACCUAUCUUUUAUGAAAUGCACAAUUUCAUGACUUAACAAAAAAAAAAGUACGUGUUUUAGAUUCUUGAGUUUAUUGGUUUAUUCAUAGAAUCUCAAAGUUAAGGAAUUGAAAUUGAUUAGAUUGGUUUUUAAGUAUUACGAGAUUGGUUUUUAGGCAUUUCGUGACUUAAUCACUGCGUGACUGAUUUUUAGGCAUUACGUGAUUGGUUUUAGGCAUUGCGUGACUGAUUUUUAAGCAUUGCGUGAUUGAUUUUUAAGUAAUGCCUAAGUCACAUAAUGCUUUACUAACUAGUCACGCAAUGCUUUACUAACUAGUCACGCAAUGCUUUACUAACUAGUCACGCAAUGCCUUACUAACAAGUCACGCAAUGCCUUACUAGCAAGUCACGCAAUGCCUAUAAACUAGUCACACAAUGCUUUAUCAGAAACUAGUCGCACAAUGCUUUAUCAGAAACUAGUCGCACAAUGCCUUAUCAAAAACUAGUUACGCAAUGCCUAUUAACUAGUCACGCAAUGCCUUAUCAAAAACAAGUCACGCAAUGCCCAAAGUCAAUCACGCAAUGCCCAAAGUCAAUCACGCAAUGCCUUAUCAGAAACUAGUCACGUAAUGCCUUAUCAAAAACUAGUCACGCAAUGUCCAAAGUCAAUCACCCAAUGCUUAAAAACUAGUCAUGUAAUUCUCAAAAAUCAUCAAAACUAUUGAAUUCCAUUUAACAAGAUCAACAACUUCAAACGAUACACGAUAUUCUAUUGAACAACAUAAUUAACGAAUAUGAAUGCUCAAAAUGUUCAAAAAUUUUUCUUCAUAUAUCAAAAAUCACUUCAAAAUGCUUAAAAAUGCUCAAAACACUCACAAGUUUUCUUCAUGUAUAAAAAACUACUCCAAAAUACUCAAAAUGCUUAAGCGUUUUUUUUUUCUGAUAAGAAAUACUCCAGAUAUGAAUAGUCUAGUGAGGAAAGUUCAAAAAAUAUGAGUUAGUUUGAGGCGUAGACCUAAACAUACUUGACCCGUUAAUAAGUUUCGGGUUGAGACGCGGAGGGUCGAUUUCAUUAAGGGUAAUUUUGUCCAAAUUUUAAUUCUUUUGGUUAAAACAGUUAAAAUUAUAAGGAGGCCUAUUGUUAAAAACAAGUUAUGCGUAGGGUCCAUUUAAAAAAAGAACUCUUUCGAGAAUCUAUACUGGUUUUAUAAUAGUAAAAUUUGUUUAUGGUAUUUUAUUGGCAUUGGACAUCAAAUUGAGUUUUGCCUUUACUUAACAUCAAAUUGAGUUUAUAAACAGUAAAUAAUAGACAAUUAUGGUUUCAACCAAAAAAUAACAAGUUAUAAAAAAAAAACACCGAAAAGCAAUAAACAAAGAUAGUAAACCCUAAAUAAAAAAAAUACUAGUGACAGACAAAAUAGACCUCAAAGUGGUCACAAAUAUCAAUUUUUUGUACCGAAUAAGUCAAAUUGCACCAUAUUUCUUGGACUAACCUGUUGAAAAUUCAAUUUGUCCCUCUUGAUUCUUUCCCCUUUAUUUCGUUCCCUCCUCUUUCAAAUAUUCAAUCUUUUUCUUGUAAAAAGAGAACCCAUUAACCUUAAAAUGCAAUAUUUUGCCAAAAAAAAAAAACAAAUUAAAUGAGAUUGUAACAAAAUCUUUUUAUUUACCAGUCUAAUCUUCAAUCAAAAAAUGCUGAUUCAAAACAAGUUGAAUCUUCAAAAAUAAAACCCAUUAACCCUUAAAACACAUUGCUUUCCUUGUCUUCAAUCUCAUAUUCAAAAGCAAACAUUACUAUCCCUCUCUUGAUUCUCCCUCUUGGAUUGUUUUCUUUUUCUUUUGUUCUUUCUCUCUUAAUUUUUAUGUUAAUCUCAUUCAAUUUAGGAUUAAAGUGUUUUUGUUAAUUUUUUUUUGUCACGUCAACAUUUGUCAUGUAAAUAUUUUUAUCAUGUUAGUAACUGUCACAUUAACAUAAAUGUCAACGAUUAUGAUGUUAUGUCACAUUAAUACAUAGUCAAUAUCAUGUCAACUAGAAGUGUCACAUUAAUUUAGUUAAAACACCACAUCAACAUACUUAAGGUUAAAUUUAACGGUAUUAGAGUUAAGUAUUGAGAUUAACACAUUGAUAAAGUAUAAGGAUUCGAUUUACACAAAUUAUUAUACAGGAACUUAAUUUAUACAUUUUUGUAGACUACAAUGAUCAAUUGCAUAAUUUAACCAAAAAAUUGAUAUAAAAUUAAUUGAAAAGAAAGUAAUGUAAACAUCCAUGAUAAUUCUGUUUCUUCCCAAACAAAAUGAUGCAAAUUGCAAAUGAUUGCGGACUAAUUGGAAAAUAUUCAAUCCCAUUUUCAUUUUCAUCGCUACUUUUAUUAUUUAUUUUUUACUUUGGAAAGUAAAAGGUAGAUAGUGCAUUUGGUUAUAAAUGAAAAUAAUAAUUUUUUGAAUGAUUAAAAUUGUAAUUAUACUAAUUUAUAAGAGAAUAUACAGUCCAUGCUUUUACUUUGUUAUAUAGAACAAUUAUAUUAGAUAGAUGAGGAGAAUGCUACAAAAGUGCUUGAGACUGUUUGAAUUGGAGCAUGAUACCUGUGAAAAACUCAGCUUAGUAUCACCACUCCCAUAUAUUUUGUUUUGAGGCUUGCUUCAUUUAUCGGGCAUUGCUUAGGAUAUGCGUGGAGUGGGGUUGUACAGGUUCCCGCUUUGUCAUUCUUUUCCCAGGAUGUGGCUGCAACUCCUUUGAGUUAGAAAGGUGAAUGCUUUGUUUAAACUAUAAGAAAUAGAGUGAAGGCAAAAGGCUUUGCUAUUUGGGAAGCAUUUCUGAAUUCGUAAUUUUUAUCGUAAGCCAAGGUUAUUCUCUAAGCCCAAAGUUGUAGAUCAGAAUGCAAGCCUGGCACACGGUUAUGACUGCUCUGUUGAACAUGUUUUGCAUUUGGCUUAUUGGCUGUAGUUUAGGCAACGGGGCUUAACAUUUGGGAUGCCAUCUGAUGUGCAAGGAUGUGUCUAGCUUCCAUUGGGAAUAUCCAUCCUACUUGAAGAGCCCAGUUAAUUUAAAGUGGUACAACAGUUUGGCUGGAAAAUUCUUUAGAAAGCGAGAACCAAUACUCCACCGUUCCUCUUUUUCCAUUUUGACAGAUUUGUGAGGAUGUUUUUACUCGUUAUAAUGGAAUGAUCGUUAUAAUGGAAUGAGCUAUUCUUUUUUUUUUAAUUACAUUACUGUAUUUUAGUCAUUUAUUUAUUUUUAAUUAAUUUUUUUAAAAAAACUUUUUUAAAAAAUAAAUAACCUAAACCAAUUAUCAAAAUUAACAAUCAAAUAAAAUUUUAAUUAUUAUUUUUUUAGCGUUUCACACUUUGGCUUGUGCUACUUGCAAAUUAAUUAAAUUAAUGUGCUAUUUCCAGUUCACCAGUCCAUGUGAACCGAUAAGAUUUUUUAAAGUUUAUCAGAUGACUUUCUGUCAGCUGUAUCAUUAGUGAAAAUGAUGACAGGAGUUGAAAAGAAUAUUUAUAAUGUAAAGUAUGAGGCUUAUAAUUCAUAUAUGAUGCAAAUACAUGUUAUUUUUAAAACCACAAAUGAUGAGCUUGAAAGAUUUCAAACUUUUUUAUUACAGCGAUCAAGCAAAGGUUACUAGUUACCAUGGAACACCUAAUAGAAAGGCUAAGUGCUUACCACCAUAUCAUAGCACACCUUAUUCCUUCCCUUGAAUUAGUUGUAUAUUUGUGGGGUAGCUCCGCAGCACAACUGUUUCAACUGUGAUACUAGCCCCUAAUCCAAACAAAAUACCCCACUGUAGACCUUCGCCCGUGGUGGCCUUUCCUACCUCCAUGGACCUCCUUCUCGUCUCAUCCAGAAUAAAGAACACGGUUGUAGAACUCACGUUCCCAAAUUCUUUAAGUACAUGUCAAGUUUCUAAAAGUUUAUCCUUUUUCAGGCCAAGUUUGAUUUCAAUCUGGUCGAGAAUUGCAUUCCCUAAUGGAUGAACUAUCCAAAAGAAUGAGUUCCAAUCAUUGAUGCUUCUUGGGCUUAAUGCUUCCGCCAAGCACUUGUCAAUGUUAUUAGCUAUCAAUUUUGGAACAUCCCUUGUCAAGUGAAUACCAUGGCCUGCUUCAUGCAUAUGUCCUUUAAUCGCACCCACCGAGUCAGGAAUAAUUUUCUCCGUUGCGGAAACAAUUUGGAAGAGUGGUCUUUCCUUCAAGACAUUAGGGUCAGCACCCCUAAUCAUAGCCGCUGCACCAUCACCCAUAAUCGCUUUGCUAAUGAGCGAAGGUAUGUUAUGUUCAUUGGGUGCACGAAAAGUAGGAAGCGUAAUGUCAGAGAUGAUGACAAUAACUCGUGCACCAGCAUUGCUUUCAGCGAUGUCCUUGGCCAUUCGGAGGAUGGUACCGCCAGCAUAGUAGCCUUGGAAGUACAUCAUCACUCUCUUGACAGAUGGUCGGCCAAGUAGCUUUGUAAGACGAUGAUCUGCUCCAGGCAUUUCCAUACCCGAACCUGCAGAAAAUAUGAGGUGUGUGAUCUGAGAUUUUGGUUGCCCCCACUCCUGGAUCGCUUUUGAUGCUGCUUCCAUGGCAAGUUUGGGUACUUGAGCGGCAAGAAUUUGUUGACUUAUCUCAAGAGAUGGGCUGCUAUAGGCGCUGAUGUUGGGAUUCUUAUUAAUAAUUUCUUCAGUGAGGACAAAGUGGCGUUUGCUUAUCAUUGAUUUCUCACCCGUUUGGUUUAUAAAUAACCAUCAUAAAUAUAACAACAUUUACUCAAUAAGGAAAAUCAAAUUGUAAUAACUAAAGAAUUUUGCUAGUAGAAAUCAGAUAUGCUUAAUAAUCCUUGCAUAGCUUUAUACUUAACAGCUGUAGUGAUGAUUUAUACUAAAAAAAUAUUGCAAAAUGCAUUUUUUUUCCUUCUACAAUUUUUUUAAUACAAGUGAAAAUUGAAUGAUUAAUUGCAUUAUGAAUUUUGAUUACUACGAUAAUGUUAAUAUAUAUAUAUGUGUAUGUGUUUAAACUCUGUUAAUUUAUUUUUAAAAAAAUUCAUCAUCAACUAUAUAUUUAUAUAUACGUUUGAAUUUUUUUUUCAAUUGUGUUGUAUGCUGGUUUUUGCCGACUCUAAAUAUAAUAAUUAAGAAAGUCAACUUGAGGGAUAUAAGAGAUGGGUAGGUAGAGAGGUUUUUGCACAGCAUAGGGGAGGCAUGAAUUACCCCAUGCAAGGACGAGCCAUGUCAAACCCUAUUCUAUAAAAUAAUUACGACGUCAUUUACAUACCCAAUAGAAUGUUUGCAUAUUUAGGAAGUUUGAGAAAUCGUUAAAAGACGAUAUUGCCUCUAAUAGUACCAUUAAGUCGAUUAAGCCUCGAACUAGUUCAAAUAGAAAUUUUAAGGUGAAAUUAAGAGUUUCACAGUUCAAGGAUGACUCAAAAUGGUAAUUCGGAGUUCGAUGAUCAAUUUGAAGUCAAACCGAAAUUUUCACUAUCUAGGGGUAAAAUGAUCAUUUGCCACUUGGGGAUAAAAGGGGAAUUUUUAGAAAAGAUUUUUGGCUCCAUUUGACUUAUUGGAGUAUGAUUUGAGUAUUGGAAUAUGAUUUGAAAUUUAAAAGUGAAAAAUUUUAAUUUCGGUAUAAUUUGGAGUAUAGAGGCGAAAUAGUAAUUAUGCCACCCUGGGGGCAAAUCGGUAAAUUUUCACCCCCGACACUUGUCAAGACCAAGAGAUUUUAUUCAUCAUACAAAUGGAUAAACAUGAGAAAUGUGUGGUAGAGAAUUAAAGAAUUAAAAGUCAAAUAUUUAAAAUUUGAACCAAUAAGGAAAUGUCAUGUGUCAUGUUUUUAUUAUUUUAUUAUUUCUUUAUAAAAAGACAAAAAAUAAGCCCAUUUCUCCCAUAGUGAUCAGCCAAACCAGAAGAGAAGAGAAACCAAAGAAGAACAAACCCUAGGUGGGAAAAAUCAAAGAGAAAGUGUUGGAAAUCAAGGAUUUGAUCAUGCAAAGGUAAAAUUUCUUUGAUUUUACUAGUGAUUUACCUUACCCAUGCAUUUUCCCUUAAUUCCAUGGUUAAAUUACAUGUUUUCAUGAUGAAUUCAUGGCUGAUCAAAAUGGAUAUGGAGAGAGAAUGAUCUUGGAUUGGUUUGAUUUUUAGGUAUGUUAGUGUUUUUAGGUGAUUAAUGAUGUGUAGCAUGAAAACAAGUGAAGAAAACCACCAAAGGUUUGGAACCCAUCAAUAGCCGAAUUCUCUAAGUGAAUAAUGAGGAAGAAUGAGAUGUUAUUCUUGGUGAUUUGAUUAAGAAAUAAUAGUUUUUGAUGUAGGAAUUAAUGAAUUAUGGAGAGAAAAUUAAGUAGGAAAAAUCACGGAGUUAGUGUACCAUUGUUGGCCGAAAGUUCCAAGAAGAAAAGUGAAGAUAAAUUUUACCUAAUUGUAUGUUAAUUAGUUGUGCUUGGUGAAUUGAGGGAUUGAAAAAAAAAUGAAGCAAGUUGGAGUGAAAUUGGACGCAUUGGCCAAUUUAUCGGAUGAAAAAUCGACUUAGGCCAAUACCGGGUAUAGAUGGCUACCCGUGCAUUUUUCAUUUCAUAUCAUGCAUAUAUAUCGAGCCUGAAAUAGCUUAUGACUGUUAGACACAAUUUAAUUGGAAUAUGUGUUAUGGAUUAUGGUUAGGUGGUGAGCCAUUAGAUACGGGUAAAGGACUAUACCCGUGAACUGAAAAUAGGAGUAUUUCUGCUCUUAAUAUUGUGAGUGAACUUAUUAUCGUCUUAACUAUCUAGAGUAGUUUUAUACAAUUGUGUGAUUUUAUGGAAAAUGGGUUUAAAUGGUAAAUUGCUAUGUUUUAGGAGAAAUUAUGAUUUUAUAAAAUGAUUUUAUAAAUUUUCUGAAAAAUCGAAUACUGAUUUUGAAAAUAGAGUAAUUGGAGACUGCCUACUUGUGUUGUAAAAUUAUGAUUUGAAUUAGAUGGCUUGUGAUAAAUUGGCAUGAUUGGCUGAAUUUAUACUUGUGUUGAAAAAUAUGACUGUCUGUUUUGCCUUGAUAAAUUUGUUAGCAAUGUAAUUGCCAUUCUAUGCCAUUGAGAUUUGAUCAAUUGGUGGAUUAAAGAUUAGCUACUGCAGUGGUGGAGGGUUCCGUGGAUCAGCCUAUUAGAGGGGCACGAUAAACUCCUUUAUAUUCUCACCUCGGUCGUAGAGACGCGUAGGGUAUCUCCUGAGGUGGGCUUUUUGAGUGCACUUCAUGUUAACCACCACAUAAGAGUGAGACUCAGCCAACGCCAAGGAACAGUUGUGAUGUUCAACGAAAAAUGUGUUUUAUGGGAAAUAUGAAUUUUUAACAACCUUGGUGGUCUCAGUGGGAUACCUUGACGAAGGUAUCCGCGAGAAUGAUUUUGGCAGGAGCCAAGUUUUGUGAGAUAUAUAAGCCAUAUUGAUUAAUUGAGUAAACUGAAUAUUCAUGUUAUGAAACAUAUAUUGGAAAAGAAUAUUUUAAUUCGUCUCCAUUUACUCGCAUUUAGAUAGUUUAGAUGGUGUUUGUUUACUCACUAGGAUUAUGUAAUCAUAAUUUCACCCCUCUUCCUAUCCAUUUUUCAGGCUCAUGACAGUUUGUUGAUAGUUGAUUAAGACGAGAAUUAAUCUCGAAGUUGCAUCCUAAAAAGUAAGGGUUCGUAGCCCUACACUUUCUUGGUCAGUUGGGGGCCCACGUGUCACUGUAAAAGUAAUUUUAUACUUCAAUUAUCUGAUUUAAAGUAUGUAUGAACAUAUUUAUCUUUUACACCAUGUUUUUGACGGGUUUCAAUAUUUUUGAAGAAAAAUUACGAAGGUGCCCCUGUGAGCUAAAAAAAUAAUAUUUUAUUGUUUUGAUUUGGAAAUGACUUAUGAUUUUUGUGAAAUGUGAGAUUUAAUAAUUGUCGCUCACCGAGGAGAUGCGGAAGCUGAUGCUAAGCCUUGCGAGGUUUCAAUCGGCAUUCGGGGUAAUGAGUGCCUAUCGAGACGUUGCGACGAUUGUCACGGGCCCGAUGGGAGUUCCGGGUCGUGACAAUUUAAGUGGUAUCAGAGCCAGGUUUAAAGAUCAAAGAUUUUGAUUUUAAAACUUUGGAUUUUAAAGUUUUCGAUUUUAAAAUUGUUUUAAGAAAUGCAUAUUAACACUGCGUGGCCCCGAGUUAGGUUAAGUCAGGUUAGAUUGAAUAGGAUGAGAUGAAUUUGAAAAUAUCUAUUUUACUUAUUAUACGUGAUAAGCACAAGAGGAUAUAAAUGGUUAUGAAAAUUGUGACGUAAGCUUGAAGGGAAACCAAACAGUUGAGAAUGAUUAGUGUAGUAACCUUAAAUAUAGAUGAAUAACAUUGAUAAAGUAAACUCCAAUAGCCACAGUGCCGCGGUGGUAAGAACACUUCAUGUCUAAGACUCAUGAAUAAAAUGAGACAGAUGUGAAGUUGAAUUCACGAGUUGACCUAAGGUCAUUGAACUUGAUUCUAAGUUUUGGUAAUUGGAGUUUAAAGGUUUAGGAAGGUAUUGAUAUGAAUGAGUUAAAGCUGAAAUGGUUAAAGGCGUUCCCUUCGGGGGAAGUAAAAGGUCUGGAGUUCGAUAUUUGGUGUAUGCGAUCCUAUAGGGCAGGGAAGCCAAGGGGAUCGAUACAGAUAUAACAAUACCUUGGAGUGGGCCUCGAAAAGAAUGCCAUAUAAAUGGCUAAGUUACGGGUUAAGUGAUCACAUGUUGUGAGACAUAAGUUUAAGAUAGAUAUCCCUAAGAAAAUACUCAAGAGAAGUUUUGCUGUGGAUCUUAUAAAAGCAAGCACUAAGUUAUGUGAUUAUAAAAAGGAAGCUAUAAACUGAGAGUGAUAUUAGUAUUAAUAUUGAAAAGUACUUAAAGAGAAUCUAGUUUUAAGUCUUGCAAUUUUAAGUACAAUUUGUAAAUUGGUUAAGGAAGAAUGAUGUUAUAUUCGUAUGAAAGAGUGAAACUUUAUUAAGGAAGCAUAUGGAAAAGAAUAAGAGAAUAUAUUAGUUUGACUUACUAUAAGAGGGCAAAAGUUGGAUGGCCAUGAGUGGCUUGUAGGUAACCCAGGAAUGUAUAGGUAAGUGUGCAAGGGAGCUAUGAUCGAUAGAUAAGGGUAGAACUUUAAUGAUGAGANNNNNNNNNNNNNNNNNNNNNNNNNNNNNNNNNNNNNNNNNNNNNNNNNNNNNNNNNNNNNNNNNNNNNNNNNNNNNNNNNNNNNNNNNNNNNNNNNNNNNNNNNNNNNNNNNNNNNNNNNNNNNNNNNNNNNNNNNNNNNNNNNNNNNNNNNNNNNNNNNNNNNNNNNNNNNNNNNNNNNNNNNNNNNNNNNNNNNNNNNNNNNNNNNNNNNNNNNNNNNNNNNNNNNNNNNNNNNNNNNNNNNNNNNNNNNNNNNNNNNNNNNNNNNNNNNNNNNNNNNNNNNNNNNNNNNNNNNNNNNNNNNNNNNNNNNNNNNNNNNNNNNNNNNNNNNNNNNNNNNNNNNNNNNNNNNNNNNNNNNNNNNNNNNNNNNNNNNNNNNNNNNNNNNNNNNNNNNNNNNNNNNNNNNNNNNNNNNNNNNNNNNNNNNNNNNNNNNNNNNNNNNNNNNNNNNNNNNNNNNNNNNNNNNNNNNNNNNNNNNNNNNNNNNNNNNNNNNNNNNNNNNNNNNNNNNNNNNNNNNNNNNNNNNNNNNNNNNNNNNNNNNNNNNNNNNNNNNNNNNNNNNNNNNNNNNNNNNNNNNNNNNNNNNNNNNNNNNNNNNNNNNNNNNNNNNNNNNNNNNNNNNNNNNNNNNNNNNNNNNNNNNNNNNNNNNNNNNNNNNNNNNNNNNNNNNNNNNNNNNNNNNNNNNNNNNNNNNNNNNNNNNNNNNNNNNNNNNNNNNNNNNNNNNNNNNNNNNNNNNNNNNNNNNNNNNNNNNNNNNNNNNNNNNNNNNNNNNNNNNNNNNNNNNNNNNNNNNNNNNNNNNNNNNNNNNNNNNNNNNNNNNNNNNNNNNNNNNNNNNNNNNNNNNNNNNNNNNNNNNNNNNNNNNNNNNNNNNNNNNNNNNNNNNNNNNNNNNNNNNNNNNNNNNNNNNNNNNNNNNNNNNNNNNNNNNNNNNNNNNNNNNNNNNNNNNNNNNNNNNNNNNNNNNNNNNNNNNNNNNNNNNNNNNNNNNNNNNNNNNNNNNNNNNNNNNNNNNNNNNNNNNNNNNNNNNNNNNNNNNNNNNNNNNNNNNNNNNNNNNNNNNNNNNNNNNNNNNNNNNNNNNNNNNNNNNNNNNNNNNNNNNNNNNNNNNNNNNNNNNNNNNNNNNNNNNNNNNNNNNNNNNNNNNNNNNNNNNNNNNNNNNNNNNNNNNNNNNNNNNNNNNNNNNNNNNNNNNNNNNNNNNNNNNNNNNNNNNNNNNNNNNNNNNNNNNNNNNNNNNNNNNNNNNNNNNNNNNNNNNNNNNNNNNNNNNNNNNNNNNNNNNNNNNNNNNNNNNNNNNNNNNNNNNNNNNNNNNNNNNNNNNNNNNNNNNNNNNNNNNNNNNNNNNNNNNNNNNNNNNNNNNNNNNNNNNNNNNNNNNNNNNNNNNNNNNNNNNNNNNNNNNNNNNNNNNNNNNNNNNNNNNNNNNNNNNNNNNNNNNNNNNNNNNNNNNNNNNNNNNNNNNNNNNNNNNNNNNNNNNNNNNNNNNNNNNNNNNNNNNNNNNNNNNNNNNNNNNNNNNNNNNNNNNNNNNNNNNNNNNNNNNNNNNNNNNNNNNNNNNNNNNNNNNNNNNNNNNNNNNNNNNNNNNNNNNNNNNNNNNNNNNNNNNNNNNNNNNNNNNNNNNNNNNNNNNNNNNNNNNNNNNNNNNNNNNNNNNNNNNNNNNNNNNNNNNNNNNNNNNNNNNNNNNNNNNNNNNNNNNNNNNNNNNNNNNNNNNNNNNNNNNNNNNNNNNNNNNNNNNNNNNNNNNNNNNNNNNNNNNNNNNNNNNNNNNNNNNNNNNNNNNNNNNNNNNNNNNNNNNNNNNNNNNNNNNNNNNNNNNNNNNNNNNNNNNNNNNNNNNNNNNNNNNNNNNNNNNNNNNNNNNNNNNNNNNNNNNNNNNNNNNNNNNNNNNNNNNNNNNNNNNNNNNNNNNNNNNNNNNNNNNNNNNNNNNNNNNNNNNNNNNNNNNNNNNNNNNNNNNNNNNNNNNNNNNNNNNNNNNNNNNNNNNNNNNNNNNNNNNNNNNNNNNNNNNNNNNNNNNNNNNNNNNNNNNNNNNNNNNNNNNNNNNNNNNNNNNNNNNNNNNNNNNNNNNNNNNNNNNNNNNNNNNNNNNNNNNNNNNNNNNNNNNNNNNNNNNNNNNNNNNNNNNNNNNNNNNNNNNNNNNNNNNNNNNNNNNNNNNNNNNNNNNNNNNNNNNNNNNNNNNNNNNNNNNNNNNNNNNNNNNNNNNNNNNNNNNNNNNNNNNNNNNNNNNNNNNNNNNNNNNNNNNNNNNNNNNNNNNNNNNNNNNNNNNNNNNNNNNNNNNNNNNNNNNNNNNNNNNNNNNNNNNNNNNNNNNNNNNNNNNNNNNNNNNNNNNNNNNNNNNNNNNNNNNNNNNNNNNNNNNNNNNNNNNNNNNNNNNNNNNNNNNNNNNNNNNNNNNNNNNNNNNNNNNNNNNNNNNNNNNNNNNNNNNNNNNNNNNNNNNNNNNNNNNNNNNNNNNNNNNNNNNNNNNNNNNNNNNNNNNNNNNNNNNNNNNNNNNNNNNNNNNNNNNNNNNNNNNNNNNNNNNNNNNNNNNNNNNNNNNNNNNNNNNNNNNNNNNNNNNNNNNNNNNNNNNNNNNNNNNNNNNNNNNNNNNNNNNNNNNNNNNNNNNNNNNNNNNNNNNNNNNNNNNNNNNNNNNNNNNNNNNNNNNNNNNNNNNNNNNNNNNNNNNNNNNNNNNNNNNNNNNNNNNNNNNNNNNNNNNNNNNNNNNNNNNNNNNNNNNNNNNNNNNNNNNNNNNNNNNNNNNNNNNNNNNNNNNNNNNNNNNNNNNNNNNNNNNNNNNNNNNNNNNNNNNNNNNNNNNNNNNNNNNNNNNNNNNNNNNNNNNNNNNNNNNNNNNNNNNNNNNNNNNNNNNNNNNNNNNNNNNNNNNNNNNNNNNNNNNNNNNNNNNNNNNNNNNNNNNNNNNNNNNNNNNNNNNNNNNNNNNNNNNNNNNNNNNNNNNNAUGUAAUCAUAAUUUCACCCCUCUUCCUAUCCAUUUUUCAGGCUCAUGACAGUUUGUUGAUAGUUGAUUAAGACGAGAAUUAAUCUCGAAGUUGCAUCCUAAAAAGUAAGGGUUCGUAGCCCUACACUUUCUUGGUCAGUUGGGGGCCCACGUGUCACUGUAAAAGUAAUUUUAUACUUCAGUUAUCUGAUUUAAAGUAUGUAUGAACAUAUUUAUCUUUUACACCAUAUUUUUGGCAAGUUUCGGUAUUUUUGAAGAAAAAUUACGAAAAUGCCCCUGUGAGCCAAAAAAAAUAAUAUUUUAUUGUUUUGAUUUGGAAACGACUUAUGAUUUUUUUGAAAUGUGAGAUUUAAUAACUGUCGCUUAUCGGGGACAUGCGGAAGCUGAUGCUAAGCCUUACGGGAUUUCGAUUGGCAUUCGAGGUAAUGAGUGUCUAUCGUGAUGUCGUGGCAAUUGUCACGGGCCCGAUAGGAAGUUCCGGGUCGUGACAAGCCAUGUCUAUCUACAAUCCGUCCGUAAGAAGGUAGAGGCAAUAGUACCAUAUAUCAUAAACACCAUAAUUACUAUUUAAACUAUAGUCAAUAAAUGCACUAAAAAAAUGUAACUACAAUAAUGACUCUAAAAAAAUUAUUAAGAAGGUGGGGAGAAAAUUAUGGCAUGACUAGCGGCUAAACUUCACAAACAAGAUUAAACCUGUCCAAAGGGUGGGAUACCCCUUCAACUUACGGGCUUGGUCCCAAUUCUAGAUUUAGAUUUUUUAAUUGAGGUAAAAGAUAUCAUCAAUUCCAUUUAAAACCAAAAAGAAGAAUAGCUAGAUCUUAAUGAGAGGAUGAAAAACAAUAUAAUAAAUUUGAUUCAAGACAGUAUAUUUAAAAUGUUUUAUUAAAAAUAUUUUUAAUAAUAUUUUUUUGUAUUUUUUAAAAUAUUUUUAUAAAUUUGACUUCAUUAUAUAAAAUUUUAGAUGUAUUAUGAAUAAAAUGUAUUUAUAAAAAAAGCAUACACUAGUAAAAGUUGCACUUUUUUAUAUUACUAUUAAAUGUAAAAAAAAUGGAACUAAAAGUUUGAAUAGCUGUACUUUUUAAGAUUUCACUAUAUAAAAAAAUAUAUGUUGCCUAAAGACGUGUGAUUAAAACUCAAUUUUGUUGCUUUUUAGAAAAAAUUAAAAUUCAAUUUUGAUGUAGUUAAAAGAUCUAAAAGGAGGAUGAAAAUAUGAACAAAGCUUCCAUCAUGGUCAUUAAUUUGGCAUAGUUGAAGUCUUCCAUACCAAUGGAUUUGGAGAAGGCACCUUUGAUGGUUCUUGUAUGACUCGUAAUCUUCUGUUUAUUACAUUUUGCCUCAUAUGUUAUAUCAGGAAGGAAAUUCAAUUGUGUCAAGAUUUCUUCAGCUACCAGUUGAGGAAUUGAAGAGUUACACUCCAAUAUUAAAAAAAUAAUAAUUUAAGUGACAAGAACGGAACGGUGAUGACAAUAAAAAAAGUAAGAUUUCUUUUCAUGCUCCGAUAUGAAAAACCUUAUAUGUUACAUGUAAUAAAGACAUGAUAUUCGUCCAUGAAAGUCCCAUCCCAACAAUAUACUGUAUAUUAAAAAAUCAUUAAUUAUCCAAAACAGGAUUGUCCUCAAUCGAAAAUUUUGUUUCCUACAAACAUAUCUUUUGAAACUUUAGUACUUUGAAUUAGGAGUUUGGUCAAGUUUAAGAAAAAUUAUUCGAUAUUGGUGUAUUUUAUAUUUAAAUUUUAUUUUCUUAAAAAAAUUGAUGUUUCAUAGUUUUAAAUACUAAAAGGCAAAAAAAUCAUGUAAAUUAAAUGUGAAAUUUGAGAAAAAGUAAAAGUAUUGUGUGCUAAGAAAAUGAAAGAGAGUAUAGAUUUGGGACAUCCAAAAAAAUGAACAAAAAAAAUUAAAAAGAGUAGUAAAAAUGUUGUUGUCUUAAGAAAACUUCAAUUGCUCGGGUUUAAUGUAUCAAAAGAUUUGUAUACAAAAGUCAAUUAGAAUUUCUAAAACAAAUUUGUAGCAAAAACACACAUUCAAAUUGAUAUUUAAAUUAUUGCAUGUAUUCAUUUGGAAAAGCAUUUGAUAUGACAUACGAAUGCUAGAAUUCAUUUAAGAAAACUAAUUAAUUUGGAAUUGUAAUACUUAACGAAAAUAUAUCAGAAUUAUAUGAAUUAUAUGUUGGUAGUUUAGAAUUUGGUGGAUCUUUUAGUCCACAUUAGAAAGGAAAAUUUCUUUGAAUUAAUUUUGGUGGACUACCAUAAUGCUAUAAUUUUCAGAAAUGAAAUUAAUAUGAAUUAUGAAAAGUUAUGUUUGUUAUCAAGUGAAAAGUUGUGUUUUUUCAUUGAUAAAAAAUCAUUACAUUUGUUCACCAAGAGCUAUCUCAUGAAAAGAUGUGUUUUUAUUAAGAUAAUUUACUACAACAACAUAAAAAAAAAAGCCGUUAAACAAUCGUCGAAAUAAGUUUAAAAAAUGUCAAAUGUCUUUCAAAGAAGUAAAAUAUUUUACGGGAUUAACGAAUGUUUUUGUUGACUAGUAAAAUAUUUUACAUAAAAAAAGUUUUUUUUUCUUUCCAAGCAAUCAAAAGUUAUAAAAAAUUUUCUGAAGAAAAGGGUCAAAAUGUAAAUGUCAUUACCUACUUAGGAAUUUUGAAAAUUAGCAUUCCUUCUUAAUAGAUAUUUUCUCUCAGGGUAGCAAACAAUGAUUAUUUUGUGUUCCAUUGCCCAAAACUGUAAUUCCCCCAUUUGAAAACAUUAUGCUUGAACUGAACUUGGUUCUGUUUAUGUACCCAAAUGAGAACAGACAAAUAAAAAUGGAUUGUUGUAAUGUGUUGUUACGUGCACAAUGCCUUGAGAUAGACUAGCAUUCGGUAAGUACCAAUGGAAUAGACUAGAAAUCGAGUACUUAAAAUGAUAUUGAAAUACUAUAAAGAAGAACAAAUGGCAAGCAUGGAAUUUGUUAAAGUAGACAAAUUAAAUACUAUUAAAAUCAAAAUCAUCUACCCAUAAUUAAUACAUUAUAUGUUUAUCUAUCCAUUUAUUUACAAUAAAUUUAUAUCAAUCCAUUUAUCUUCUGUCUAUCCAUAAUCAAUAAAUUGAACAAGUUGAGUUCAAGAACUGAUUGGAUUUUCAUCAAUUUUCAAGGGCAUUUGGCAAGGGGAGUGGAGAUAGGGGGGAGAUGGGAGGCCCAAAGAAUGAAGGGAGGGGGGAAGCCUUGUGGUAGGGGUGUACCAAGUCUAGUUAUUUCAACUCAUUCACCAUUAAUUAAGUUUGACCGAGUUAAGCCAAGUUCAAAUUUUGUAACUCGGUUUGAGUAAUUCGAAAAAUUUUUAAUAUAUAAAUUGAAUAAUUAUUUAUUGACAUUUUAAAAUUUGCUUUGAAUUUUUAUCUCAAACUUAAGCUUGAGCUCAAGUCAAAUUUCCACCUUAUAUAAAUGAAUGAUAAUCAAGCUAAGCGAUUAAUUCACCCCCAAGUUGUGACACUAGCAAAUUUGGUCUUGGGUCGCCCAAUUGCCAAUAGAAAAAGAAAAGAAAAGAAAAGGAACCUAAAAGGAAACUCUAAAAAAUCAAAAGGUAAUAACAAAUAAGAAAUGAAAAUAUAUAAAUUUUCUAUUUUAUUUUAUUUCUUUUUCUUUUUUCGUAUUUCCUCCAUUUUUUACUAUUUUCGAGAAAAUGUGAUCACUUGAAGAUUUUUUCAAAUUAUAAUUUUUUUUUAAAUCCUUCUCAUUUUUCUUCUUCCAUAUUUUAUUUUCCUUUUUUUUUUCUCAAUAUAUGUUUCAAAAGAAAAGGAUAGGGGAUGAUCUAGACAUGUUUCAAGUAAUACAGAAUAUGAAUUAUGUGAAUUAUCAACAAUGACUAGUAUAUUGUGUUACUAUAACAUUUUAUCUCCCAAUUACAUCAUUGCUUUGAUAAAUUUUUGUUGCAUAGAUGUUAAUAAGAAACAUGUAAACGUACAGCAACAGGCCUAUGGGUAGUAGUAGUAGUAGCAGCAGCAAUGAAGACAAUAAGAUCUGCCUGCAUCCAUUGUCGUUGCUGAUUGCAUUUUUCACUUUGAGUACAAAGACAUUAGUAUAUAAGUUAUCCUAUUUAUUGUUCAACUGAAAAACCAACUCCACUCAUUUGAUUUUUGGCACAACCCUAGUAUACAUGCUUUUAAAUAAAUACCAUAUAAUACACAUGGGAUAUCUUACAUGCUACGUAGUAUUAUACACUACAAUUUUCUUCCUAUGUUCUCUCUCAGAAUUCAAGUGACAAACCUGUAAAAAGCAAGCAGAAGUCUCGUUUGAAGACAAAAUGAGCUGUGCAUACUGCUGCCAGUGUUGUACUGCAAAAAUCUCCAAAUCAAGAAUUCAAGCAAAAUAUGUUCCCCCCUUUUUUGCACUCAAAUUAAUCAUCCCUCUGGCCGAAAGAAAGUAUAUGUUGAACUAGUCUCGGUCUUACUAGCCUGCACAGAAAUGUUUUAGCUUCUUCAUGAGGCCAACUUAUGUAAGAUAAAUGAAUUAGAUAAAUGAUUCACCUUAUAUCUUACCAUUUUCAUAACCAGCUGCGCUUGAAGGAAAUAACAAAUUGUUUUCAAAUUACUGAGGAAUAAUGAGUCAAUUAACACCCCUGCCAUCUCAUUAUUGUUAGAAAAUAUCUUAGCCCGAGGUGAUGGGAAACUAGGAAUAAGCCCUUGAUGAUGCCACUAAAUGAUAGUUAGAUACAUGCAGAGAUAAGAAGGAUGUGGAAAGCAUUUUUGGUUGGUUAUGUCAAAAGCAUCUUUUAGUUGGUUCUCACUUUCAGUGUUAAGUGUUUCAAUUAAAAAACUGCAAUGAAUACUAGUAGCAGUUUUAUUGUCAAUUGGGAACUACCGUGAUGUGCAAUUUCAGAAAUCCCUGAAAUCAAAUUUUGACCUUCUUCCGUAAAAUGCAUUAUAACAAUGAUGACUAAUUACUAAAGAAUGCUGUUUUGAUAGAUAUAACUUAUUACAGCAUAUUAAUUUGAAUAAGUGAAAGGUUAUCUUACACAUGGUUCUAUUCGAGAUUUUCUUACUGGACAAUGUUUUUUCUCUCAAUAUCAAAAUUAUAUGACUCAUGAAAUGUCCCAUAAACAAUAAAUAUGUGAAACAAAAACUACAACAAUGCCUUUAUCUAUUAGUUAUAUCAUUUUAUUCUACUUCUUCUAAAGAGACAAAGCUUUGAUGAAAGUUAUACCAACCUCAGGAUUACGAGAUGGUCCAGUAGGAAGAACAGGAACAAGAGAUGUCCAAAGCACAGGGUCCACCAAGGAGUCAAUGGUAUUGUAGUUGGUGAGAAGUGGAGCAGACAAGAAAGGAGUCAAGGGGAACACAUUUUUCUGAAGAGACAAUCCAGCACUCAUUCCCAGUGUGGCUCCAAGUCUGUCACUCCCAGUAUCAUGAUUUACUGAUUUUUCAGCUGCCUUGCCAUGAUCCAUUUUGUUUAUAGUAUUUUUGUUCUCAUUCUCAUCAUUAUCAGCAUUGUUUUCUUGUUUUUUCACUGCUCUCUCUUGCAGGCUCUUGAAAUCAGCAGAUCGAGACAAUAUACUCAAGGCAGAGGCAGAGGACCCUUUACGUUUUGUCCCUUCAAGGGAAGUGCCCAGACAGGGCAUUUGGUAUGGUUCAGUAGGCUGCACUGCCCAUUCUGAGGUUUUAAGUUCACUGCCAAUGUCUUCUGGGCAUGCAUGUUUAGCUUCUUCAGAAGAUUUUGCUCCGGGUUCUGCUUGACAAGUUUUGUUGGUUCCCCACCACUUAAUGCAACCUGUUAGAUCAAUUUUUCUCUCAAUGCAAAAACCACCUAUGUAAUCACUUUCUGUGGCUGGAUCAUCACCUACACCAUUGAUUUAACAAGAUAGCGGUUGGAUAUUAUACUAGUGCAAGGAAUUGACAUGUGAAAGAUACAAAUUACAUUUUGCUAGAGAAGGUGUGAACUAAAAUAAAUUUGCAGUCAUCCCACAAAACUAGUCAACCAUUGGUUAUUUAAACUUAAAAUUAAUUGGUAGACUUACUGUACUGCAUACUAUUGAAGUAUUCAGAUCCAGAAACACGACCAAAUGAUGAGUCCCACCUACUACUUCAUGGUAGCCAGAGAUUUAAUAACAAAAGGAAAAAGAAAAACAGAUUAAUAAACAAUCAUUAUUACAGAGAUAUUAUGCACCCACACGUUGGAAGAUGAACAACAUAAAGAAAUUUAUAGGAGACAAAUGAGGAACUAACACCCCAUUCAUACUAGCCAACUGACAAACAUAUGAUGAAUGGGUCAGAUUUCAGAACAUAUUAAGUAAAGAAGAAAAAAAAAGAAUGAUUAUUUCUUCUGAUUUCUUUGAACUGUAACGAAUGUUUUCUUUGCAUGUUGAUAACAGUUAUACCGACAGAAAGGUGAUCUACAUGGAGCUAAAGUUUAGGAAGAUAGAUUUGUUCGAAUUCCCAUAAGUAAUUUAAUAAAACAGUUUGAAAGGUAAGUUGAUGAACAGAAAUGGGUUGCGGAGAGACCAACUGAUCUACUCCCAUUCCCGAUUAAAGUACAGCAUUAUGCAAAUUUUUAAGUUGUUUCUCAAGUACUAGGCAGAAAGCAAACUAAUAAAUAGAAGAAAAUUUGCUUGUCUUUUAGAUUGUCAUAAUAGACAAAAAAGGAUCUUUAAUUUGAAAUGGAUUUUGGCUUGAGCAGGAUCGAGAAAAUACACCAUGAAGUUGCCAAUUCUGGCAGCAAUGGUCUCGUGUGAUUUGUUGGAUUCUGAAAUUUGCUGCAGAGAUUUAAUUUUAGGUGUCUGAGAACUAAUUAUAUAAGAAAGAAGGAGGCUUUAAGCAGCAUUUUAAAUCUGCAAUCUUUGAAAAUACUAGGUAUACCCAUUAGCACUAGGUUACUGAACAGUAGAUAUUACAUGUUUUAGAUAUAAGUAUGGAUACGUAUGGUAAAAUUGUACCUUGAUAGACCACGAUAUUUAGAAAUUCCUCUUGAGAAACCGCUGCUUUUUCUGCAGAGAGACGUAUUAUAAGUAACAGCUCUAAGUUGCAGUGGGAAUAAACACUUUCAAAGCUCAUACACACCUUCGAAGAGAUGCAAGGUAGUCCUCUCUUGAGACAUUUUGCAUCUCCUCAAGAUCCCUAGUAUAGUCAGUAACCUGCAAAUAAUUUUCCAUGCUUUAAACAUUCAAUUUCAGACAGAUGAGGCUUAAAGCAUUAAGGUGAAGAUUCAAACUAAAUUCUUAUAUGCCAAACCAACCUUCUCAACAACACCCCUCCUUCCCCAAAGCCCAAAACCCAACCCAAAAAAAAAAUCCAAAGAAAGAAGAAAAACUGGGGUGAGCCACCUAUUUAUAAGCACAUAAUUAAUGAAGGAAACAUGUAUGCAUUUAAUAUCCCCUGCAAGGAGAACAAAAGUUUCAAAUGACAAAUUGGAAAAUCAUCGUUAAGAGACCGCAUAUGGAUUCUUUAGUUUUUAAUAUUUAUAACCAAAAAAAGGUUAAAAUCUUUUAGGGUUCAUAUGACUAGUAGGAACCCAAGGGGGAGAGAGGAUUUGAACCUUGGACGUUAUUCCUCCUAAGGAGGGGUAACAACUGCUUUUUCAACCAUGAUUAUUAAAUUUUAGUUUGUGGAAUUAUUAUUGGUAGGAAAAAUAAAAGAAUCAAAAGGAAUUUUCAAUUACUAACAAGCACAACAAACAUGCUGAGAUAAAGCAUUCAAUUCGUCUUUUUUUUUUUUUUCGCAAAGUGAUGGUACUAAACUGAGUGAUCAUCUCACCGGAAAAUUAAUGAGUGUCCCAGGACCCCAGUAUUUCAAAGCAGCAAGAUCAUAUGCUCUUGCCGCAGCCUCCUCGUCAUCAUAUGCCCCUGUAAUUAUAUGUUUCUUAAUAAAUAGAUCAUCGUAAAAUGAAUGAACAGGAAAGUUCAAAGAAAUAAAUUCACGAAUCUCCUGACGUACCUAAGUAGACUGACAAUGGUCAAAAACCAAGCAGCCCAUGCACCAAAAAAGAAUAAAAAUAUUGUCAGCUUUCGUGAGAAACAUGAACUGUUAAGUCGCAAUUAACUAGCCUGCAAAUCUAAAUCAAGAGAGAAAAGCAGAUAGACAGACCUUGCUUCCCUUUCUUGUUCUGAUUUUGAUUCCAAGUACUUUUAUCCCAAAGGUGAGCUUCAUAACGACCAGUCCAUCUAUGCCUAAUAUACAUAGAAUUGAACCACAAGCAUCAAUCACCCAUGUAUUAUGACUGGAAUUAAAUUCUUUAGUAGUUUACAGGCAACUGUGAAAAACAUGCAUCAACCAAGAAAAACGUAGAAGUAUUAAACAGAAUCUUCUAUUUUCUUCAGAAUGGCCUAGUUUAUCUAAUUUUUUUUUUUUAAAGCCAUCAAGUGUAACUUACAAAUAUCCCUAAUAGAUACAGUACCAAUUUCACACCACAGAAACCUCUAUGAUCCAGUAAUAUGAAGAACCUUAAACAUUACAUUUUUUGUUGUACACAUAAUUUAAUUUCCUUAACUAUUUCUUGCAGAUUUGUACUCCUCCGAUGAUAUCAUGAUAAUACAAUUUAAUCAAAGUUUUCCCAAAAGCAAAGAGGAAAACAGAGGUGUGGCUGUCAAAAGCAGAUGAACCAUUGGUAACAGCUAUAUGCUGACAACAGGGACCCAAAACAUUGACGUGCAGCCUGCAUAAUACUGAAGAAAGAAUUGAUGUCUCUUCAAGGUCUUGCAGUUAAGACGUUCAUGUAUUUAAGAGAAACCCUGUUGAAUUUUUUCCCCAUUUCAUUCUUUAAGUUUGCUCUCCAAAAGCCACCAGACUUAUAUCCUAUCAUUCUCGUUGGUUCCUAGGCAGCAUAUAGACAAUCAUACAUAGGAGCCUUAUCAACUAACCAGAGGCAUGUUUCCAACAUCGGCCUUUCUCCAAAACUUCCCCCUUAUACGUCAGACACAAAUUAUCAAAUGCACCAAAGACAUCAAUUGUGCCCUUCAAAUUUUUACCUUCAAUUAUUCCUUGACUCACAACAGGGACAAACUAAAAGUCCAAACUCCAAAUCGAAUAAUUCUCAAAAUUUAGUUCUUUUGGCAGCCUAAAGCUAAGGUUUUGAUCAUAUCGACAGCUCACUUUAGUGAUAAAUUCCAGCAACACUUACAUAUUCCCAAAGCUAAAACCAGUCAAAUCUCAACUCAAAUCCAUCAAAAACUAUUCGAAACUGCUACCUUUCCCACAUCAACUAAUCUGAUAAACAACAAAUAAAAAUCAGAGUCCCUUCAGAUUCAUCCAUCAAAUAAAAAAUUCACAAAAAACCAUAACUCUAAACUCAUAAUCUUUUAAAUCAAUAACCAAAACAGAGAAUUUAAGUAAAGCCAAGUAAGUAAACGACAAAAAAGACCUUUUUUUAACCUCAAUUAUUGAUUUGUUUUGCUUUUUUACCUGGUGACUCCACGGUAAAUGGAGCUGCGUUUACCGGCGGUGCAAGGCGGCAUCUUACUGAUACGUUCUUUAGCAGUGCAGCCUCUCUCUUUCUUCGCUUUCUUCAAUCCUCUGUACAGUAAUAGCUGAUCGUUUGCUAUCACCGUCUCCGAAUUCUCUCCGCCGCUGGCCUCCGCUUUCAUCCCCGGAUCCGACGACGACGUCGAAGCCAUGAUUGAAAAAAAACCCUAACUCUUGGAGAGCGAAAAUUCCAAAAAACCAAAGAAAAAACAGUGAAGUUGAGAGAGUGAGAGUAGGCUUUUGGGGUCUUCGGUUUUGGCUUUGAUGAUUUCACUGUGGAGGAAAAAACGAAUAGUGAGAGAGGAAGAGGAGAACUGAAUUUACGAAAAUGUCCUGAUGGUUGGUGUUAUUAACUUGGUGAUGUUUGGGACUGGUAUAGAUAAAACGGUUGUAACGGCUAGGAUGUGAAGAGGGUUGGGUUUGUAAUUUUACAUGUUUUGAAAGUUCUGUAGCUUUGGCAUCUGUCAACAACAAUGAAUACCAUGACACCGGCGUCGUUUAGGUAUAUUCCCGUCUUUAAUUCGUAACCAUAGAGGGGAAAUAGCGAAAAUGUAUUGCAAAAUUUAAAAGAACUGAAAAAAGUUGCUUCUAUACCUUACAAAUCCAUAUUAAUAUUUAAAUCCAAUAACUAUAUUUUAGAAAAAAAAAGGAAAGUUAAAAAGAAAAAAUGAAAAAUAAUGGUAGAACAUUCUCUCUACACAAUUGUAGUGAAUGUGCUAAUGUUUUUCCCGUACAUAAUUAUAUUGUGAAUUUUGUAGAUUAGAUUCUAUCUAUUUUAAAUAAAUCUAAGUCAAGUAUAGGAUCUCAAUAAAAAAUGAAAUAUUCAAUUAAAUAGGUAACCACAUUUGAAUAAAAAAGAUUAGUGAUAACUUUUCUACAUAUCAAACGGUUGGAUUCUUUUCAUCACUUGUUGGAAUAACUUGACGGCUCCACUCAAAACUUUGAGAGUCGAGUUAGUAUGUUAUCUUAAGGGUUGACCCACUAAUUUUUAUAAUUGACUUUAUUUCUCUUAUACCUCAAUAAUUUUGUUUUUAUCUAUUUUUUCUUAUUAAUGUUUUGAUUUUGUUAUUUUUCUUGUUUCAUUCAUAUUAUUAUCCUUAAUAAAAUGUUGGGACACUUAGAACAGGGUUUGAUGAGAUGAGUAGUCAAAGGUUCGUAUGUUUUUUAGCACACAAUUGACAUUUUCCAUAGUCAUGCAUGAGCUCUGUAUUCAAACUUCAUCCAUUUUAGAAAAGGUUAAAGUACCUAUGCUUUUGAGAGGUGAUGACUUUUAUGUAGGUUUGUGAAAUUCUCCCAUUCAAAUUGAACUCUUUCCGUUUAUAACUUAUGAUGAGUGAGGAUAAAGGUGCCUCACUAAUUUAGCGUGGAUGAUAAUAAGGAACUGUGUAAAAACUUUUAGCUUCUUGUGAAAUUGAGCUCAACAUGUAAAAAAUCGAAAAAACAAAUUUUCAUAGAAAAGAAUAAAAGAAGUUUUUCUUUCAUUACUUUUUUGUUCUUUACAAAUUAUAAAAAAAAAAAGGCUUUUUUUCUUUCUUCCUCACCCUUAUUACCGUAAUUUGCAUCAAAUAAUUUGAUUUUCAUUAUAAUUCCAUCAUGCAUAUAAUGUUUCAUUGUCCAUUCAUGAUCAAACCGCUUUGUGUUCUACAUCAUUCAUUCAUCCUCUAUUUAUCCACAAAUAAAUACAUUUAAUCGCCCCUCCAUGCAUUUAAGAAUUUGUACAUCCGUCCAUUCAUCCUCUCAUCCUCUAUUUAUCCACAAAUAAAUACAUUUAAUCGCCUCUCCAUGCAUUUAAGAAUUUGUACAUCCAUGCAUCCACCCAUUUUUGUCUACAUGAAUUUGUCAGUCAUUCACUUUUGUUAUAAUUAGAAUCAUUUGGCUUUAUUACAUUAAGUGAAAGAAAAUAUUUGAUACUGACAAAUUUUUUACUGGCCACUUAGACUUCGCUCACCGUGUCACUCUUAAGUUUAAUUAACUCAAACACCUUGACCUUAUCCCAAGCUUUAUCCUCAAACACUAUUUCCUUUCUAAACUACCAAAUAGGCCAUGUAAUCAUUAAAAAGACCAUCCUCCAAAAUUUCAAUUUCCUCACAUCAGUGACUGUGGCGUUCCAUGCCACAACGAAAGGAAUCCCUAUCAUAGGGAACACCAAUUAAUGCCCCAGUCGUGGCACCAAAGACCCUAUAACUGCCACUAAGCAUCCCCUUCCUCACAGGUUCAUACUUUAACCACUACUUUGCCUUUGAUUACCUGCCAACCAAACACUUACAACCUUUUAGGUGGGAUGAGUCUAGCCCACUCCAUUUUCCACAAUGUUGCAUUUUCAACGUUACUACCCAGCAGUGAUCGACAAAGGGAAUUAGGUGUGUAUACACCAUUAUUAGACUCUUUCCAUACCCUUGAAGCUUGUCCGUAACUUUUUAAAAAAAUUCGAAAAAUUUAGUUUUGAAUUUUGAUUAUAUCUUAACUAAGGAUUUCUCUGAAUUAAAACUUUCAUAAGAACAAUGAAAUAUCUCUUUUAAAAUCACUUAAGGUGAUGUAAUUUUUAUUAAUCAUUUAUUUAUCUCAUGCUUCAUGUUAUAUCCAAUGCCCAUUUCAUUAUACAUCCUUAGUUAUGCUCUCGGCAUAUUUGUUAUCGGUGCCUAUUAUGGAAACUUAAUCUUCAAAAAAAAAAAUCCUUAGUUUCGAUGACUCAAAAUAAUAUCAAAGUGUAGCAAACCCUACAUAUGAUAAGUUGAUAGUCUCAAAUCUAAUGGUCACUUAGACAAUUGACACAUGAAAAUUUAUUUUCAUAAAUACUUGAAUGAAUUAUCAAAUGAAAAUUACAUGGUAAGUCAUAUUCAACGAACUUGUUCUUCUAACAAGCAUUCAUAUUUUAUUUUAAUAUAUUUAUAUUUCGAUUUAUGAAAUUGAUUACUUUGUAAGUAAGAAAUAUAAUAAAACCUAGUCUCUCGAUUUUUAUUAAUAUCUCAUCUUGGUAAAGUGUUGACUAGGAAUAAUUUGAAAAUGAUGUUUUAAUGUAAUAAAUUAAUUCUUUAUAAUUACUUUUGUAAGGCAUAUUUGUUUUAUGAUUUUAUCUUUAUAAGUAAAUAAUAUAAAUUGUAUCAAUUCAUUGAUAAAGAUAAACUUUAUUGAUAUUUAAUGAUUGGUUUUCAAGACACAAGUCGACUGCUACAAUAAAUAUAUAUAUAUAUAUUCAAAUUUUUCAUGAAACAUUUUUCUUUCAAACAAAGAAAAAGAUGCCACUCCCAGCAUCUUUUCUUUUCUCUAGCUCCUCGAUUCAAAAGUACAAAGCCUUAUAAUUACUUUAUGCAAACCUUUGUUUUAAAAUAAAAAACAAAAAAAGUAAGAAGUUUUGUUAAAAAAUUGUAAGGGUAGCUAGCAAUACAUCUAAAAUAAAAUUUACUAAAAACGAUAAUCUUUUUAAUAUAUUUGAAACUAUUCUGGCACGCAUGGAAUGUGUGAAUAUAUAAUCUAUGUCAUAUGGGGAUUACAUAUGAUCCUUAUAAUAAUCGCUGUACAUUGACCCCAUUGGUUGCCAAUAAAUUUUAAAAAAUUCAGACUUUUGUCAAAUCAUCGUACAAAUUGGUUGGCAUGCUUCUACUUACUUUUAAGAAAAAGCAGUGGUCGACAGAACCCACACAUUACUAUAUCAGUUUUCUAGUUUUAAACAAGUUUCAUGCAGGAAAUCAAAUAGUUCAGUUUUGCUCGUUUUAUAUAAAUUACAAUUGGUCGGUGUGUUGCAUACCGACUAAAUAUAACUUGCAAAAUUAAGCAUGUGAGAGAAAAAAAUAUUCACAAAAUUUGUCAGAAUUCAUAUUGUUAUAAGGAUAGCAUAUAAUAUUUGUCAAAUUUUAGAUUGAAAGAAUACGUAGUAAUUUAUUUUUUUCUAAAAAAACAAAAGGUAACAAAAUAUCUUGCUUUUGAAAGUGACACGAUAAACAAAGACCAAAAAAGGAAUAGGAACAUAGUAGCAAUUAGAUUAACAAGAGCUAUACAAACCACAAGAAUCAUAUGUGAGUGAUAAACAUUCAUAGGCAACAACAUAUUUUGAUGCUAAUAAUACACAUAAGUCAUACACAAGGCCGGCCCUAGGGUGAAGCCACCCAAGCAAGGGCUUUAGGCCCCCAAUUUGGAAAGACUCUAAUUUUAAAAAAGAUUUAUAAUUUUAUAAUAAUUAUAAUAUAAUUAAUUAUAUUAAAAAUAUAAAAAUAAAAAAUAAUUCAUCAAAUUAUUUGUUCUUUUACUUUUUUUUAAUUAUGUACCUAAUAAAUUUUAAUUUUCUAUUACUUCUUUAUUUCUAGAAUACUAUUAAUUCUCAAUUAUAUUAUCUUAUUUUCAAUAAACUAAUAGUUACAUGUAUUUAAUCAUUUCUAAUAGCUAUUUUUUUCUCACUUAUUUCUCUUAUUUCCAAUCAACACAUUUAAUAAUUUUCAACAGUUAUUGUUUUUUCUAUAUAUAAAACUAAUUAUUUUUUUCAAUGUAUAAUAUUUACUUUUGAAAUCCUCAUUUCUCAUUUGCUCUUUCUUCCUUUAAUUUUAAUUUUUCUCCAAAGAAUACACAAUAAAUUUGUUCUUUUAUUAUCUUUAUAAAGCUGUGAGCUUGAUUUGCGAUUUACAAUAAACAUUCAACAAUUAGGUACUAUUGUUCUAAUUUUUACAGAUUUUUUUACUUUAAUUUAGAUUUAUAUUAUAUUGUUAUAUUAUUUUUAUUUUAUGUAAUAGUUGAUUUAUUUGAAUUAAAAUUUUUGAUUGUUGAUUUUAUAUUGUCACUUAAAAAAUAUAAGAUAAUUAUAAUAAUUAAAUAUUUUUAUAAUAAUGUUAACAAUUUCAGUAAGUGUUGCUUCCGGAAAAAGAAGUUUUUCAAAAUUAAAAUUAAUAAAAUUUUAUUUGAGAUCAACAAUAUCUCAAGAAAAAUUAAAUGAAUUAACUAUAUUAUCAAUUGAAAAAAAAUAUUAAAAGAACUUGAUUAUAAAAGUUUAAUUAAAAAUUUUACAUCUCAAAAAGUUAGAAGAAUAAAAUUUUAAUAAUUUUUUUUAAUUUCAAUAAAAAAAACCUUAUUUGAAUAUUUUACUUUAAGUCUUUGAACUUAUUGGACAGCCCCUGGUCAUACAUGUAAUAUAUAUAUAUAUAUAUAUAACAGCUAAAGAAAUCAUUAAAUAAAAUACUUAGAAAGCAUGAUAAACUAAUUUAAACUCAACAUGAACAUUAAAUUUACUUCCCGGGAUAAUAUACAACACAACAAACAAAAUGAAGUAAUGUUUUUUCACACAUAACUGAACAAAAUAAAUCAUGAGAAGAAAUGAGAGAUAAAAACAAAAAUUAGGAGAACAAUGCAACCGAUCAUAUUGGCCUUGCGAUCUUAACAAUCGAGAUGCAAUAUACCUACGUAACGACUUAUACGUCAAAAUAUUAUAAGUAAAAAUAGUAAUAAAAAACAUUUAUGCAAAGCUUGAGUUAACUGGUUAUAUUGAGUUAACAACGAUUGAUUUUGAGAAGAGUAAAUAUCCUUCUCAUAGCUAACGGGAAGAAGACGUUGCAUAAAAGCUUGCCAAUAUUGUUUGACGACCAAUCAUUCCCUUAAUAGUAAAAAGAAUUUUUUUCUACCCAAAAUUCAACCAUGAAUGACAAUACAAAACGUUGUUGCUCUGAACCAACUAUACAAAUUAGAAAACAAUAUAAAGUAGCCAAACAAAACACUCAAUUAAUUCUACCAAACUAAAUCACAACAGGAAUAUAGAAGUUUAAACUACAAAUCAAACAAUGAUAUGAACUAAGCAACAAAAUUAUGAUAAUCAAACUUUUAAAAAACAUUUUAAACUCCAAAUCAAAACUAUAAAUGAAUUACCAACUAGGUUAGCAAAAGCUGCAUAAGUAAUAUAUCUAGUCUAACAUAUAACAGGAUAAAAAAAAAACAUUAAAUAAAGCUCUUUGAACACAUAACAAACAAACUCAAACAAACAGCGUUUAAGUGAAUGUGUUAAAAAAAAGUUCAUUACCAGAAAAUAUUAAACAUAGAACAAAGCAUGAAGGAUAUUAAAAGAAACAAUGAGUUACAAUUAAACAAAUUCAUUACCAGAAAAUAUUAAACAUAGAACAAAGCAUGAAAGAUAUUAAAAGAAACAAUGAGUUACAAUUAAACAAAUAAAACAAACCAUCAUCCAACCAUACAAAUGAGAAAACAAUAUAAAGUAAUCAAACAAAACCCUUAAAUAAUCCUACAAAACUCAAUACAAUAGGAACAUUGAAGUUUAAAUUACAAAACAAACAAUAAUAUGAAGCAAGCAACAAAAUUACGAUAAUCAAACUUUUAAAAACCAAUGCAAACUCCAUAUCAAAACUAUAUAUGAAUACCAAUUAGGUUAGCAAAAGCUACAUAAAUAAUAUAUCCAGUCUAACAUAUAACAAGAUAAAAAAAACAUUAAAUAAUGUCCUUUGAACAUAUAACAAACAAAGUCAAACAAACAAUAUUUAAGUCAAUGUCUAAAAAAAAAUUUACUAGAAGGUAAGUUAUUAAAAAAAAACUCAAAAAGUUGCUCACUUACAAUGCUUAUGAUUACUGGAACAACAAUUAAAGCAAAGCCCCUUGCAAAGAUAAAUUAAUAAGAUCAAUAAGGAAACCCAUGAAUUAAUGAAGUCUAUCUACAUUGAAAACCAAUAUACAAACGAACAACUUUGAUCUCAUCGCAUGCCUAGUCUAUUUGUCUCACACAACAAUGAAAGAAUGAGAUUUUUGACCAAUCAUUAUUUGUGACAAAUAAUAAAUAUACAAUUAGAAAAACAAAAUGACAAACCGAACAUAGAAAUUUAAAAUAAAAACAGCAAAACAAAGGAACAGCUAACACUACAAAUCUCAAAAACCAAACAUGAAAAGGAAAAAAAUAGAAUUUUUUGCAUGAUCAGAAAAUAUCAAACAUAAAACAAACCCUGGAACAUAUUUAAAGAAACAAUGACUAUCAAUCAAACAAACUAAACAAACGAUCAACCAAUGAUAGAAUUAAAAAAACAAUAUAAAGCACUAAAUCAAAUCCAUGUAAUAAUCUUACAAAACUAAAUCAUAACAAUAACAUAGAAGUUUCAAUUAUGAAACAAAUAAUGAUAUAAACCAAGCAACAAAAUUGUAAUAAUAAAAACUUUAAAAAAUAAUGUAUACUUCUGACUAAACCCAUUGUCCCAAAAAAGAAUAUCACCCCAUCUCACAGGGGAACCCAUCAUUUCCACUGAGCAAUGACCAGAGCAAAAUUUUUUUUAAAAUCAACAAUUAUAUAAGCCAAACAACAGAAGCACAAUAAUAAAAUGUUAAAAAAAUCAUGCAAAAUCCUCAUGAAGGUCAUCUUCCCCAUGAACAACAUGACCCAUUUGAAAUGGGUAUCCAUCAUAUCCACACAACAAUGACCAAAACAAUAAUUUAUAAAAAAAAAACAUAAAUAAUCAUGGGCAAAAGCAAAGAACAACUUAUUUCAGAAACAACUCAAAACCCAGAUUUCUUCAACCUGAAAAACCUUAAAAAGCAAAGCCAAUAGAGAAAAAAUUAGGAAAUGAAUAGAUGCAACAACAAAAAAAACCCAGAUGAAAGAAAAAAAAGAAUAGGAAAAAGAAAAUCCGAAAUAUAGUAAGGAAGAACGGGAGUAGGUCAAGCAUAAAGAGGUAGAGGACAACAGCAAAUAGCUCAGACACGGAAGACAUCUCAUGCUAGACAUGUUAGUUGGCUAUACGUAAUCAGAUGGUAAGCACAAAAUUCGAAAAACCCAAAAGCGUCUAACAUGAAUCCACUAAGAGAAAUGAAAAAAAAUUCAUACAUGCCACCUCCCAACCUUACCCGAAACAAAAUUUGAAAAAGUCAAACCGAGAAGGAAGAGAAACGACAUGAAUAAAAAUGCCAAUCGAUCAACCACACGUAAGCCUAGCACAAAAGAGAAAGCAAUAGGGGAGAACAACAAAAGGAAGAAAACUAUCAACCACACCAAGGUGGCUCAAGUGUGGUAAAACACUCAAGAGAAAAACAGCUCGAGAGAGGAAGGGGCACAAAACCCUAGGGCACCUCAAGUGAACCUGGGGGUGUGUUAACCCCUAUCCCCCCGAGCAUGUGGCUUAGCCAACAUAAGGCACUCGGCUUGUGCGGGCCAACAUAAACAAAGCCCCAUCAGUGCCUCCUCAUAUGUCCAUGUGGCAAAAAAGCAAAGGUAAACGUGGCAUCGUUUGGGUGCCCCAAAGGGCUUCCUUUUAUAUUAGGUUAUAUAUAUAUAUAUAUAUAUAUAUAUAUAUAUAUUAUGAUUUAUAACAAGAAAUCUUUUAUAAAUUAAGUUUAAAUAUAUUUUAAUUACUUAAAAAAAGGAUUUUUCAUUUAUCAUCAUUUUGUUUCAAAUUAAAAAUAUACUCAAUAUAAAAUUUAAAUAAAAGUCAGAUAUGAAGGAUAAGAAGAUAACAUAGGAACAAAACCUUCAUAAGUUUUUUUUUUUUCUUUUGAGAUCAAAAUUCUAAUAGAAAUCAUGAAACUUAGACAUCAUAUCUAGUAUUUGGGUUUCUAAGUGAAUAAGCAAACCUUAAAUUGAAAGUCUAAAAAGAAAUCGAAAGAUGGAAAAAAUGUUAUAUGAGUAAACUAAACUUAAUUACAAGUAAAGAUAAAAAUUAUACUAAAUUCUUUCUUUAUUUUUUGAAAGACAAAAUUACAUUGAAAUUAGAAAAAGACCCGCGCUAUGCAACAUGUGUGUAAAUUUUUAUAAAUAAUUGUUUAAGAAAAUGAAUAGAAAAAUUGAAGUUAGUGAUAUUUUUGUGGAUUGUUUAAAGAAAUUAAAAUGAAGUUAAUUAUUUAUAAGGAAGUUAUUAUUCAAUCUACAAAAAUAAAGUUAUUUGUAAUAAUUUAGACACAAUAUCAUCUACAUCAUUUUUAAUAUCAUCAUUUGUGUAUAUUUAAUAAUAAAUUCUUGUUUUUUUAUAAUGUGGGAAAAAUAGAAAAUGAAACAAUGAAAGACAUAUUGAAAAGUAGUGCUCAUUAUAAAAUAUAUAAAAAAUUGAAUGAGAGGAAAUAUAAAAAAGAAUGUUGGCAUCAAAGUAUCAUAUAUAGCUACAUAUCUGAUUUUGUGCUAAGCAUAUAAUCUUGUCUAGUAGUUAAGAACGGUAUACUAUAGAUCACACGUUUAUCCAAGAAUGAACAAACCCAACCAAUUAUGUUAAUUAACUUCAUUAAAUUGAUAAUGUCAGGAUAUUUUUUACUUGAAAAAUUAUGGCACUUUUUAUCUUCAUCAAUUAACUUUUCCUCCCCUUCUACAAUAUGAGAAUUAUCUCAUUCUCCUUCAAUAUAUAAUUUUUCUUUUUCAAUAUUGAAAUUUUCUUCUUCGAACCACUUUUGCACACCAUCUACCCUUUGAGCAUUAGAACAUUCAAACCACUUUUCCACCUUUCCCUUUGGGCAUCAUCAACAUCUUCUAACAACUUUCCAUCAGAACAAUAAGUUCUUUAGUGAAUUCCAUAUAAUACCUAUAUAAAUUCAAUCUUAUUAAUCUUGUAAUAGAGAAGAAAGGGUAAGUUAGUGAUCUACAUAAUAAGAAUAGAAAAUGAAUGGUCAAUGUAAGUGAAGUACCAAAGAAUAAGCAAGGGAUAAUAAAAACAAAAGGGAAAAACAAUAUGAUUGUAGCAAAUUUCAAACUUGCAACAAAGAAAAAAAAGAAGAUAAUUAUUGUAAUAACCACUACAACAUGAUUUGUAAUAGAAUUUGGGAAUUGAACUAUCCCCAGAAAAUACUAUAAAAUGGAAUAGUGAACCAAAUUAUAAAAACAAUACUUAGGAAGAAUUUGUAAACAGACGUAAAUGAGAUUGAUCAUCAACUUUUAAAAUAUAGUACCUCUAGCAUUGAUGAUGAACAUUUGGUGAAGAGUUUGCAAACAUUAAAAGGCUAUAACAUAGAUAACAUAGAAUUUCAACUCAACAUAAAAAGUAAUAUAGAAGUAUUCAUCUAAUAAUAAACAUUUAAAUUUUGAAAACUUUAUCCCAAAACACAAAACAAAAAGAGCUUGCCUUUACAAUGCAUAUUCUGAUCAACAUGCAAAAGUAAAUCAAGGAACAAACUUUAAUCUAGGGUUUUAGAGCUGAAAAAAUAAAAGAGAUUUAUCUUUAAAAAGAGAGAAUCUUAAUAUAAAGCUUUAAAAAGGCAUAAAAAAUGGAUUUUUCUUCUAUUUUUUCCUUUGGCUUCAUCAACUCAAAAUACAAAGGAGCAAAGCCCCUUUAGUUUUAAAACUAAGAGGCUUUGAAAAACCCCAAUAGUGCUCCACAAUUUAACAAAUGGCAAUGUAAAAAGAAAAAAAAAAGCCCCUUUCUCUAUCUCUUCCUUUUUUUCUUUCUCAACACACCUCCAUGGUAGUGUAUAUGUCAUGCAAGCUCAUUGCUUUAACUUAGUACAACCAUUUUCAAAAUUCUAAAGUUAAAAAGCUGAGUAAGGUUAGUAAUGCAUGCAAAAAUAGAACUAAUAAAAGAAAAUUUAAGGGUAAAAUAUAACCACCCCCUAAGUUUUCAUCAAAAUUUCAAGCACGUCCACUAGUUUUCGAAAUGGACGCUUCGUCCAAAAAAAAAUUAUUUUGCUUGACAUAUAGGUCUAGCCUUUAGUCAACUGUUAGUGUUUCUGUUUAGUUUGAUGAUUUGGUAAUAUUGAAAUGAUAAUUUUACCAUUUACUAUAGUUAAAAAUCACUAUUAUAUAAUUUUUAUUAAUUUUAAAACAAAUAUGAGAGCACCAAUCUUUUUUUUUCAAAAAAAUAUAAUAAUUUUUUAAAUUAAUUAAGAAAAAAAGGUAUUUUAAUCCUUUCAUAUUCUUUGUUAACGGUGUUUAUACUUUUGGGGUGGAGUAUCUAUUUCGAAAACUAAUGGACUCGCUUAAAAUUUCGAUGAAAACUUAAAGGGGUGGGGGUGUUUUACUCAAAAUUUAAAAAAGUUGGAAAAGAAGACUUUGAGGCCGUCAUUAGAAAGAAGACCAUUGAAGAUGCAUUCCUUGAGAGUAGUUCUCAGCACUACGACAUCAUACUCUUCAUCCAUGGAUUUUAAUUACUUCUACUGCUAUUCCAAAAUGAUUAGAAAAGACAAUAAGGAGUUCAUGUUUCUUUAGUACUCACCUUUCAAAACCCAAGCAAUACGUCGAAGAACAAAAUUGUAUAGUCCAUCAAUGAGAAGGGAGGGGAGAUUGGGAAGAAAGUUGAAGAAGAGAACAUGCAUUAGGAAGUUUCCAAAGAAAAGUACAAGAAAAGGGAAAAUGAAGAAAAGAUCAAGAAGACAAAAGAAGAAGAGAAUGGAAGCUUCCAAAGAAAGGAGAAGAGCUAGAAAACACCCUUGUUUUUCAAAGAAAAAACCAAAAAUGCCCCUACCUUUUGUCCAAAUUAUCAAACUAUACUAGGUUCGUGUUUAAAAGUUCAAAAUACCCUUCAAACAUGUUAAAUACUAAGGAUAGAUGUCAUGAAUAGAAGGGAUAUAUAGGUAGGAUUCAUUAUACUUUAGAUUCGAACUAGCAAAAUUUAUUGACACUAGGUCAAUGGGUGUGGAUAGAUAUAUAUUUUGGUCGUCAUAAACUUAGAUCAUUUUUCUAUAGCUUUUUUAAGAACCAUAGUUAUAAAAUCAAGGUAUAAUGUUUUAUAAAAUAUCUUUUAAUUAUUCAAAAAUUUUAAAUAAGUAUUUUUAUUACGUUUAAUCAAGUUUUUAUAUUUUGGACUAAAUAGACUUUUAUAAUUAACUGUUGACUAAUUUUCUUUAGUUAAAACGUUAUUUGUCAUUUUAUAGCCAUGAAAUACUAACGUGACAUGGAAGGCAAAAAGUACAAUAUGAUCAUGUCAUCAUGUCAUGUCAUUAUUUAUUAUGAUAUUUUAACAUGUCACAUCAAUAUUAUUUGAUAUGAAAUGACAAGUGAUAUUUUGACUAACGAUAGUCAAAUGUUAGUUAUAAGAGUUUAUUUGAUUAAAAAUAAAAGUAUGAAGAUUUUAUUGGGCAUAAUAAAAAAAUAAGAACUUAUUUGAAUUUUUUAAAAAUGGUUUAAGAGUUUUUUAGAUAUUAUGUCUAACCCACACACACACACACAUAUAAAGAACAAAAAAUUGGCAAUUGUCAUUAGUUGGAAUGAUAGUGCAUGUCAUGCUAGUUAAAUAUAUUACGGAUUAAGCUAUUAAAACUAUAAAGGUAUAAUACUCGAAAAAACUAAUGGUAGACUAAUUGCAAUUAGUCAAAAUACCACUUGUUACUUUAUGCCCACAUGGCGUUGAUGUGAAAGGUGAAAAUAUCACAUGGUUAUAUUAUCAUACCACAUCAUCAUCUAUUACAACGUAUCAACAUGCCAUGUCAACGUCACAUGGCAAAGAAUGAUAAAUGGUAUUUUAACUAGGUGAACCAUCAAUCAUAAAGGCUUAUUUGGCUCAAAAUAAAAUAUAAGAGCUUUUUUUUUUCGAAAAGCAAUAUAAUAGCUUAUAUGGCUCAAAACAAAAAGAGUUUAUUUAAUUCAAAAUAAAAGUACAAGGGCUUGUUUGAAUAUAAUAAAAGAAUAAAAAAUUAUUUGAUUUUUUUAAUAAUUUAAAAGCUUUUAUAGAUAUUAUGAAAACUAUAAAUUGAUUAUUGUCUUAGGGUAAUACAUCAACCAUAAAAUCUAGUUAAUGUUAUUCCCAAAAAAACUCUUGGAAGCCUUGAAAGAUGAGGUUCAGUUGCCCUUGUGGCUUCAAUUUCUAUUGUUCUUCUCCUUAUUAUUUUUGUUAGUGUAAUAAGCUCAAUGUGAAUAGUUUCAAAAAAUGGGUGAAUUGGAAUAUUUUAAAUAUUUUGAAGAUUUCUUUUCAAUUUCAAGAAAAAAAAAUUCUUUCAAGUCAAAUCUCCUUCUUUUUUGAGAAUGAAGAAGACAAUUGAUUUCUUAUGAAAUACGAGAAUUUGGAAACACAAAUGAAAUUAAAAGAGUGAGAGAAAAAUCAACACAAUAGUUUUAUUAGAGGUUCGGCCUCCUUGCCUACAUCCUUUCCCUUAGAUUCAUUAAGGAGUUUAAAAUCCAAGAUUGAAAUAUUUUUCAAUACAAUGCCUUUUGUGGAUCAAAUACAACCUUUCAAUAUAAUGUUUUUUAUGGUUAAAGCACAACUACUCUACCUUUUAUUUUGGCUAAGGUAUAACACUCAAAUACUACCUUUCGAUUGGUUAAGGUAUAACUACUUAAGGGAAUACAAUGAGAGAUAUGAGUGCAGCUAGAAUGCCUUUUAAAGGUUGAGUAUUAGAUUAAGUACAAUGUUUCGUGAAAAAUAAGAUAAGUAAUAAAGGCUCAAUAAAUGGUACAACAGAUGUUCUUGCUUUGUGUUUUGGGUUGUUUUGAGAUGAUGGUGAAUUGUUUCCUGAUCUUUUUAGCAACCUUUUCUAGAGCUAGUUUUUUUCCUCUUGGACUCUGAUUUUUGUGGUUUCAUGGGAUACAUGCUCUUGGAUGUGCCUUCUACCUUUUUAUGGUAGUUUUUGUAUAGUUGUUUUUUGAAUGAUAUGAAUGAGAUUUCUUGCCUUUCAAAAAAAAAUGGUACAAUAAAAGACUUAAAUGCUAUAAGAGAAUUAUAAAGAAUAUUGAAUGAUUUAAGCUGAAAUCUUCUCUUAAAGUUGUAUUUCAGAGUCUUCCAAUCUUCAUAAAUGUGGUGGGAGUUGUAUUUAUAGUUAUUGAAGCUUUUAAAGUGGUUGAAGAUGCAUUAAAUGUGAAAACAACUACUUUUCUCUUCAUUCUAAGCUCUAAUAGUCAUAUUGUAUCGAUACAUGUGUGGAUGUAUCAAUACAUUGCUGCUUUUAUUGUUGAAUUUUCGCUGAAAUGCAUCAAUACUUUUGAACUUGGCUGUAAGGGUUUGAACAUUCUAUGAAAAUGUAUCGAUGCAUUUAAGGCAGUGAGCACUCUAUUGAAUUUUUAUCGAUACAUUUUGAGAAUGUAUAGAUAGAUUGAGUUUGACUUUGAAAAUGUUGACUUUUUUUAAGAACAUAUAUCGAUAGAUUUCAAUUUUUAUCGAUACUUGUUCAAAUGUAUCAAUACAUGGUGUAAAUGUAUCGAUAGAUUUGGAUCAAAAAGCAUUUUUCAAAGUCUUUUUUCAUUGUUCUUAUUCUCAAACUCAUUUGAAAGUGCUAAGGGAUGUCUAGACUUGAUAUUUCAUAGCUUAAAUAAAAUUUUGGUCAUUUUCUUUUGUAAUUUAAAAACAUGGGAUCAAUUUAAAAGCUAUAGAGCUAACAAUUUCUUAUAACGAAGAAGAUAAGAGUAAAGACGUAUAGCCAAAAACUUCCUUCAAGCCUUUAUAAGAUUCUAAUCAUAGGCAACUUAUACCAACUUGGUCCAUUAGCUCACUGCUCUUUGCAACAACAAUCCAAGAAAUAUGGCCCCAUCAUGCUACUUCGGCUUAGCAAUGUGCCUACCUUUGUUACCUCAUCUGUUGAUGCAAUAAGAAAAAUCUUGGCAACCAAUGACCUUCAUUGUUGCACUAGGCCUCUUUUAGCUUGCACUAAAAGGUUUUCCUACAAUUAUCUUGAUAUAGCUUUCAUUUCUCACGGAAACUACUAGAGGGAGAUGAGAAAAUUAAGAAAUCUUGAGCUAUUCAAUGCUAAAAGCGUUCAAUCAUUUCAAUUCAUAAGAGAAGAAGAGGUUGCGCAGAUGAUUGAGUCAAUCUCUCAAUCAUCAGCUUAUGAAACUCCUAUUAACCUUGCUCAAAAGAUGAUGGCUCUCACUAUUCAUAUAAUUCGUGAAGUUGCUUUGUGUAAGAGUGCACUUGACAAGCAUAAAUUGCAAGAAUUGGUUCAUGAAGCUUUUAGCAUAAUGGGAAGUUUCUUUGCAUUUGACUUCUUUCCUUAUGUGGGUUACAUCAUAGACAAGGCCACAGGUCUGCAUGGAAGACUCGAAAAGACUUUUCGUGAUUUGGAUCUUCUCUACCAAAAGGUCAUAGAUGACCAUCUACACAUUGAAAGGCAUGUAAAACUAGGAAGUUGACGAUGUAAUUGAUGUUUUGCUGCAAAUAAAGAAUAAUCAAACUGACACUUCUCUUCAAAUCACCCAAGACAAUAUUAAAGUUAUUCUUAUGGUAUGCAAUCCAUCUAUUUUUACUAAUAUUUUUUAAAAAUUUUAGUUUUUAUUUAACAUGUACAGAUUCAUUGGUUUUUGAAAGCAGGAGUUUUCUUGGAUCCUUUUGUCAAGUAUCUACAUAAAACCAAUUUAAUUACAUGUUAGAUGCUUAAUUUCAUCAAAUUUGUUUUUAAAAUUUUAUUUUUAAUUUAACAUAUAAAGAUUCAUUGGUCUCUACUAAUGCUAAUUUAUGUACAAUACAUAUAUAAAAAGUUUAUUAAUUUUGGACUACAUAACAAAAAAAAAAAAGAAAGAAAGAAAGAAAAAGUAACCUUAUCCCAUCCAACAUAACCUAUGGUCAAGCUUUUUUUCCAGAAUUUAAACAAGAAACCUCCUAGUUAAAAGUUUUAAUGUUUUAACCAUGUCUCUUGGAAAGUACUAUCUUAAAUUUUGCUGACCUUUCUGCUAAUUAAUUGCUUUUAGAAUGUAAUUUUGGGUAGUUGAUAUUACUUCAAGUAUGAUGGUGUGGGCUAUGGCAGAGCUUGCUACAAGAUUGAUGAAGAAAGCACAAGAUGAAAUCAGAAACUGCAUAGGAAAGUGUAAAUGCCCACUACCCAACUACGUGCUCAUUCUCUUAACACCCAAUAAGUUGUUCUUCUCAUAGUAAACGUAUUCUUCCUAUAACAGGCAUGUUUUUCCAUGAUUGAACAUGUUGUCCUAAAAAUAUUCUUCUUCUACCAACUACCACUCUUAUUUAGUACAAAUAUGAGAGUUUCGAAAGUUGGGAGGUAAUAAGAAAAUAAUCAGAUGCUCAGUAAAGAUUACUCUCAAAAUUCUCUCAAAUAUUCAUUCUACUUAGCCUUUUCCAUUCACUGUGAUCCACUGCUUUCUCCACCUUUCUUAUUCUUCACCGCCUAUUACCAAAGCACUUACACUUCAAGGACUUCUCUAAUCUUUCUCUUUACCGCCUCUUAAUGCAUUUCAUUUUACUUAUUGCGACACAUUUCUUUCUCCUAGAAGAGUGCUUUAUAUUUUGGCGAGUUUACUAGAAAUGAGUGAUUACAUUAAGUAAAAAAAAAGUUAUCAAAAACUUUUUUUGUCAGAAGAUAUGGAGAGUUCUCCCAACAGCCAUGAAAUGCCCACUUAUGUCUAAAGCUCAUGAAAAUGCUCUACGCUUCCCAAAAAAGGAUGCAAGUGUUGGAGGAUAACAAUAAGCGGAUGAUGAAAACCAUUGCCUAGUUUGUGUCAACAACUGUCACAACCCCUUAACCUCAAGUCAUGCCACACCAUAAUGGCAAAAAUGCUGCUAACAUGGUCAACAACAGAAAAAAAAAUGGAGGAAAUGGAGAAAGCACAACUGACCCAUUUCUCAAUACCAUUAAUCCCUCUAUUGUUGGCAAUCCUAUCAUCGUAACUCCUCUAACCAUAGCUCAAAGCUUUCUCACAAAAGAAAAGCUGGAGAAGUUGCUCAAUCAGAAGAACAAAAGUCUCAACUUUGUCGAGUUUGACCUACAACUACCUUAUCUUGCCAAAGUAGUAGCAAAGUCGUAUCCCAAAUAUUACACCAAUCUAAAAUUUAAACAGUUCAAUGGCAAGAUCGGUGAUGCUUAGGAACAUGUCAUGAAGUUUGUGCAAACCUUGGAAGUAGCAAGUUUAGAUGAUGAUUUAAAGUUAAAGGAGUUCUCUAAGUCCCUCACUAGAAAGCUUCAAUCUCACUCCUGGUUAAGUUGACUCUUAAAACUAUAUGUGCAUGAUGUUUAGGAAAAAGUUCUUACCUGCGUUAAUCUAAGAAGAGAACAUCAAAAAUCAAAAAAGGAUCUUAUGAAACACAUCUAGCAAUUUAGAGAACAAGUAAUGGAUAUACAAGAUUCUUAUGAUGAAAAAGAACUAGUCAAAGUUUGCAUCCAAAGUAUGUUCGAUGAAUAUAAGGUGCAUUUGGAAAACUUACCUCUCCCUACUUUUGCCACUUUAGUAAAAGUUUCAUGGUGGACCAAUAAUAUGGUCGUUAAGCAAAAAGAAGCUAAUAAUUUCAAUAGAAGAAACAUCCCAACUAUGAACGUAAUACAAGGAAGAGGUAGAGAAAGAAGUGGUCCUCAAGAAAGCCAAGACAGGACAACUUCAAAAGAAGACAAGAUGAAGAGAUUAAUGCACCUCAUUUACUCUUAGUUCCACUUGAUAGAGUAAAGGCACUCUUUCGAAAAUGAAUUAGAGAUUAUUUAAAUUUACCUUACAUAUCGUAACCCCCAACGGUAAAAGAAAAGUCCAAUCCAAGGUAUUGUGACUCUCACCGUACAGUUGGUCAUUCACUUAUUAAAUGUAGAGAUCUACGUAAAAUAUUUUAUGAGAAGGUGCAAGCAGGAAAAAUGGUGGCUGGAAACAAUAAGAUCUAAAAUAACUCAUUUCCCAUUCAUCCAUGAUAUGUCUAAAAUGCCUACUAUUAAUUAUUUCACGUACUCAAAAUUUGACAUUUGCAAAAAAAAAAAUCAUUUUUCUACCGCAAGCUUUAUCGUUCUUGCUUUGGCUGUAAUAUUAUUGUUGCACUCGAUCAUAAGCUUUAUAUCUUAUUCUUUGACCAUAUAAUUUAUCACUCAUAUUUUAGCUGCGAGCUUUAACACUCAAAAUUUGGUUUUAACGAUAUUAUGCUAUUGGCUACCAGCUUUAUUACUCACUUCUUGGCCAUAGCUCGCUAUUCACAAAUAAGCUGCAAUUUUAAACAUUCCUUCAUACUAGGUUGAGGAUUAUUCUCCUUAAUGUAAAAUUAAGAAUCCUUUUUGGCUGCUCACAAUGAUACAUGUGAAACAUUCAUAUGUUUGCAAAGAGUGAAAUAUGGAAGAAAAUAUCUCAAUUUACAAGCGAUUAAAUAAAACCACAAAGAAAGCAAAGUAAAUGUUUACUAUGGAAAACAAGUCUACAAAAGAAGAACAAGCACAAGCUAGUUAAAUAUGAAUUUCAAAAGGAAGGAAGAUCAAUCAUUAUUAAAAUUGAAAAAGCUGUCUAAUCUUCUUCGUAGCUCCAUUUUUCGAUCUUGCACUAAAGCCAUCUAUGAGUCUAACUCUUUUGUCUCAGCCUCUAUGCCAAGUUUGUCAAUCCUUGUUCACAAUAUAUUCUUUGGCCUUAGUUAUACAAGCAUCAAGACAUUUAAUUUGGCAACUGAAUUUGAGGACAUAUUCCAUGAGAUGCACCAUCUAUUUUAAUUCCUCAAAAGAAAUGUCUGCCAUAAGGAAUAAGCAAUCUCUAAGGCACUGCCCAAUACGUCCAUAAUAGCUCUGUUCAAGAUUCUACUAUUAAAAGGCCAAAAUUCACUUUCUACUUUAUAAGCAUGCUCCAAAAGCUCCAAGUGUUAUGGCAAGAUUGAAAUGCAAUGAAAGUCUUUCAAAUGAGUGUCAAAAGCAUUAUCUCUACGUUCUAUCACUAGAAAAAAUGACACAUGAACUCCCCUCAGAAGAAGAAUAAGCAUUGCGAGUUAUAUUUAAAACACCCCUAAGAGAAAAAAAAAACGUUGUGAGUUGUAUUCAGAACACCCCCAAGAAAAGAAGACACAUUAUCAGUUAUAUUCUGAACACCCCAAUAAAAGAAGACACAUUAUGAGUUAUAUUCUGAACACCCCAAGAAAAGAAAAAGCAUUGGGAGUUGUAUUUGGAACACUUCAAAGAAAAGAAGACGAAUUUCGAGUUGUAUUCGGAACACCUCUAAGAGAAGAAAAAGCAUUGCGAGUUGUAUUUGGAAACUUUUCAAGAGAAGAAUAAACAUUGCGAGUUGUAUUUGGAACACCUCCUAGAGAAGAAUAAGUAUUAUGAGUAGUAUUUAGAACACCCUCGAGAGAAGAAACAUUGUGAGUAGUAUUUAGAACAUCUCGAGGAGAAGAAGAAGCAUAAAUAUUCUCACUACCUUUAAGAGAAGAAGAAAUGUUGCAAGUAACACCAAGGGUAGCACAAACUCCCUUAAAGUAGUAACCAUAGUAUGUGAAAAGGUACUCCACCUUGCAAUAAUAGCACACCAUACUUCAAUUCUAGUCUCUUUACAAAUAUGGAGUUUAAAGGUGACUUUUA